rnacentral:lncRNA from 1 species
GGGGGGGGAGUGGGGUCCGUAUAUCCAUACUCCCACUUCAAUUUUUCUACUUCGAAUUUUCUUGGAAUUUGAUUUCUAAAUCUUUUUACUUUGAAAUAUUUUAACGGGCGACGGCCUAUUAUUUUCAAAGUUUCAUUUACACCGCUUCGGUUACAGCGCGCUAUAUAAAUAUUCAAGAUAAGAAUCUGCUCGAAUGUUUUUCCGAGCAGGCUAUGAAUUCUAUCUUCUGAAAUCCGGUUAUACUUAACACCGGUGCCCCAGCUCGUUUCUAAACGCUGGUAAAAGAUUGAAUCAAAUCGGGUCGCAACCGUGGGUAUUCAAGUCUACUGAAAUCCAGUUACUCUAAACACUGGUACCGAGUCAACCGCUUCGGAAACUAAAACCCAGUUAUCAUAAACACUGGUGCCGAGCUUUUGCUUCGGCUAAAUACAGUUUCUUAUCUGCUUUGGUCUGCUUAGAAAUCCAGUUAUCCCGAAUAACCUGGUACCGAGACGAUCAGCUCGGAACGAAGUAUACUGAACCCAGCUUUGACUCACGCAAUUUGUACCCGAGCCAACCACAUCAGUUCGUCUGUAGCUUUCCUAGCUCGAAGUUCGUCUAGCUAGCAGCUCGUCGGCACUUCGCCUAGCUGACAGCUCGUCUGCAGCCUUUCUAGCUCCCAGUUCGUCUGUAGCUUUCCUAGCUAGCAGCUCGUGUGCACUUCGCCUAGCUAACAGCUCGUCUGCAGCUUUCUUAGCUCCUUGUUCGUCUGUAGCUUUCCUAGCUCGCAGUUCGUCUAGCUAGCACCUAGUCUGCACUUUUCCUAGCUCACAGUCCGUCUGCAGUUUCUCUGACUCGUAGUUCGCCCAGCUAACAGCUCGUCGGCAGCCUUCCUAGCUUGCUAUUGCCCGCCUAACAGCUCGUCAACAGCUUGGAGUUCUUCAACAAGUCUCCUAGCAGCUUUCCUAGCUCACAACUUGUCAACAGCUAACAUUUUGAGUUCGAGAUAGCAACACCCGUCAAGAACAGAAUCUCGUAGCACCAAGAAAAAACAAGCCUUACUUUCAAAAGAUACGGAUUAGUCAGUUUAGAUGCGAAAGCAGCUGGCUCGGUCACACCAUUCAUGAAGCUCGUGGCAUUAACUCUUAACCAACGAGCUGGGGGGCUAACUGUUGGGGUCGGAUUCCCCCACAAGCAAGACCGAGCCAAACAGUCUAAGAAUAACAAUCACCUCAUGGUUAAACAUAUGAUUGGCCCCUAGCCUAGAACAAAGCACCUCGGGACCUUAUUCGAUCGACCGUCCCGAAGAGAGUUUGUAAAAUGGCUCGGGUGUUAAUCAUAUGAACACAGCCCGAGCCAAUCGCGAGAACGCUGCGGGAAACAUCUAUAUCGGCUCGGGAGACAGCCAACUGAGCUUAAUGGACAGUCAUCAAGCGCGCCCCGAGCCGGUACAUACCGUUUGCCCCGAAGCCACCUCUCAAACGACCACCGAGCCGUGAAGAACACGCGAGGCAAAGACUUAAGGAGAAUCUUUGAAGAUAAUGUUGAAAUCAGGAAAUCUCCCCAAAACCUCCGAAGAAUAAGGAGAAUAUCCUUAGGACGAUUAUCCUCUAGAACCGACCUAAGGAUAAAUAAGAAUCUUCCGAAGAAUAUCGCUAAGGGGGCGGUUUAAGGAUCCUAUAUAAAGUGCCUCAGGGACUUCACAAGAGGGGGAUCUUUGGAUACUCACAAGAACACAUAACUUUAUACCUAUUGAGAACUACGAAUGGCUUGAUCCCUUCACAGGGUACGUAAGCAAUCCAUCAUGGAUGCAGCUAUACCUUUUUAAAACCCUAACUCUUUUUCUGUUCUUGAGCAAAACCCUAAUGUAUUUCAUAAGAGAUUAGAACAUCUUUUGUAAUCGAGUCUUGGAUAGAAUACCUAAUGAAGAGAAAUUACUAGAUUUGUUUUCCCUCUCUAAACAAAUCUAUUGUGUGAAUCCUUGGUUCAACACAACUCAAGUUUUUUCUCAUCUAAUUUGAAAAUGUUUCUGAGACAUCAACAAAUGUAUGAGGAGAGGUUUCUCAGACACAUGGAGGUGCUGCAACAAACACGAUCGACGAAAUAUGAGCCAACAAAGAUGGGAAAUCAGAAUCUCACGGGUCAGGAUUUUGAUCAUGUGCAACAAAUGAUCGAUAUAUGGAGGAGGUCGAAGAUCAAUCCCAAGGAAGCUAUUUAGAAGCUUCCAGUUAUCCAGAGCUCAAGAUCUGAACACAACACCUUAAAAAACACCAAAAACUCUCACGGGAAUUUUGUCGAACAGGUGGUGUGCAUCUCAACCCAUAACGUUUCUUAUGAUUCUGGGAUUUCUAAAGGCUCGACUGCAACUCAAAACCUGAGGAAACGACAAACUCAUGUUAAGCGAAGUUACCACAAGGUUCGAAAAGAAAAAUGAAACGUGACAAUCUUUCUCAAUCUCUACAACUAAGUUUUUGUACUCGUUCGCCAAGAAACGUGUUGUAUCUCGGAGAAGAUAGACUCAAUUCGAUGGCAGUGAAUCUGGUAAAGGAAAGUCGCCACAUAGGUACUCCAAGAGCUAGUUUCAAGCAACGUUUUCACCAAUUUCAGAAACGAAGAGAGAGGGAUAGAUAUCGAGUUGUGAUUGCCUCAUUCAGAUCAAAGAAUAAAAAAUGGGUCGUUGCAAAGAAAAAGGAGAAAGUCAGCUCUCAUACAUUCUCGUUUCCUCCUCUUAGACAAUUGACUGUGAGUGAUGAUGAGUGUUACAGGGGAGAUAUCUUGGUGAUGAAUCUACAAAAGGCUAGUGAAGUGAGUUUACUAGAAGGUGCAGGAACGCUUUGUACUACAGUGAAGGAAAGAAGUGAUGGGAUUUUUAUGCAAGGAAGAUUCAUGGUACCGAUGAGAAACAAAUUACUAGUUCUUCAAUAACUGACAUAGUGUUCAUGAAUGAAAACAAGUUUUUUGGAUGUACUUUCGUUAGCCAAGUUUGGGAUCAUGGAGAGAGGAUGACUGACAAAAUUCAUUUGGACGGGUUAGUGGCUUUCUAGGAGUUUGAGGAUGUUGAUGUUGUUAAGCGUCUAGCCUGUAGAGUUUGUACCGGUAACAAACAACCAACUGACCCUGGGAGAGCUAAUCGCGUAUGCGAGCGUGGUGGUUUAGAGGUUAGCCAAGUUCUAUGGGUUUGGAAGGUUACAGAAAUUUUGGAGUGUUAAGAUUAAUACAGAAGCUUGAUAAGACUAAUUUACAAAAGGUCAUGAGAAGGGACUUGAAAAAGUUGCGUGUUGGGUAUAAAAAAGGAAUUUUGAGGCGGAAGCUACUUUUACUCACAGGUUUUGAUUUGGAAAAGCUGCUCAAGUCGUUAGAUGUUCACUUAAGUGAGAACCUUAGCAAAGAAACUCUUUUCUUGUUCAUCCACCUUGAGGACAAGGUGGAUUUUUCAGGGGCGAGUAAAGGUAAUGACAGAAGAUGGGUUAGCGACACAGUAAAGAAGAAACUAAGAAAUGUCAAAGAUGAUGUUAACAAGGGUAAGAACAGUGUCUCAAGAGUUGUUUGUGACGUUGAUUUGGGUUGUGUCUACUCUUUGGGCAGAGAGGAGUUUGUGUGUUCUAUUAAAGCUACUGAGCCACUACCAAGACGUCAAUUGCUAUAGGUUAUCUAUGAGACAACAAUAUUAACAACUCAAGAAGUUUCAAAAAUAUUGGUUGAGAGAGAUGUUGUUGAGAAAUAUCAGAAGCACAACGAUUUAAGAAAAAGUACGGAAGUUGUCGUUAUGGUCUUGGGAUACUUGUUAGAGAUAGAACAAAAGAUUACAAGUAGGUUGAUCAAGAUCAAUAAGGACGUUGUAGCUAUGAUAUCAAAUAAGUUCAUUUGUCUUGUGAGAGAUCAAUCUACUUUGAUAGAGACCAUGUCGACCCAGCUCUUUCAGUUUCAUCUUGGAAACUUGGUUAAGAUUGAUACCAACUGUGAAGUGUCUCAAUCGUCACGGCCACCUGAACUGUUGUUUGGAGAAUGGCAGGAACAGGAGAACCUUAGAGCAACCCGUGAAGCCCAAAAUAUAGAUAUGACAGUGGAGAAUAGACCGUUUGACAUGAAGAAGAAAACGUGUAGCACUCAUGUUUGGAAGUCACUGUCUAAGGACCCUCUCUUACAGUUUGCAUUCUUGGGGAAAGUAUCAAGAUUCCGAAACAGAGUUUCCAGUGAUGGCAAGCUUUUGGAGCUGUUCUUUUCAAAGUUGGUCUCAAUAAUUGAGAACACAACUGCGUGAGAGAUACAAGUUGAAGAGAACGAACGGAAGCAGUUUGAGAUUACUCAUAAGGACUUUAAUGAGAUCUUCUCCAUCAAGUUAAAGACUGAAGGUGCAGACAUUCUCGAAGCUACAACAAAGGCUGAUGCACGGGCAAACAAGGCAAUGUACUGGCAGAGUUUCAUUUCCUUCCACCUUGAGGACAAGGUGAUACUUCAAAAGGGGAGUAUUGAUAAGUAUCCAAUUGUGGUUUAUUGGGCCUCUUUUAGUAUGUUAUUGGGCUGCCAAUUUGUUGGCAUCUUAAGCCCUUAACCUUUGUAUUUAACAACUCUUUCUCCCUUACGGGAACACUAUCGAAAUAGAUCAUAACAAUAUGUUUAUCCUCUUCAUCAUCUCUCUUCUCUCUUGUUCUUCUUCUUUCUAAUUCUGAAUUCUUCUGCUUCUCAACCUAAUUCUUCUAUUUUCUCAUCUCCUUCUGGUUACUUACUUGAUAAGUGAUUCUGACCUUAUACAAAUCCAUCACUUAUUAGAGCAUAAACACUACUAACAACAGUUUAUGAAUUCCAAUUAUUUCAAUUUAAUGAUCUUAGACCCUUAAAACUCGAAUUGUGAGAAGAAACAUACCGAUUAGAGCUUAAAACUUCUAAAUCGACAACAAUGAUGAAGAUGACGCCAAUGAUGGAGAAGAUGAUGGUGACUGAUGACGGUGGUGGUUGAAGAAUUGCAGGUGGAAUGCGAAAGAGAGAAAGUAGCGUAAAAGAAAAAUUCCUUGUUACUGUGAAGACUGAUAGCUUGAAGCACAAGGUGAUAUUCAAAUGUUUGGCCUUAACCUUAAGACUUAACCCAAGGUAAAGUAACUCAACCUUGGUUAGUCUACUUUUGGGACCACAACAAAGCAAACGGCUAUGAAGGAGCUUGCCUCGCAAUGGCAUCGGUUUGCUUUAAGGACAGUUUGUCCAUUUGUGUGUGCAAAGAGAGGAGGUUAAAGAAGGAGACAACAAUCGCUUUCAAGCUGGCAGUUUUGGCGUUUUAAGGAGCGUAGGCUGCGGCUUGUUAUUUGCUGAGGUGAAGCCCUAAUCUACUUUGAAGUAUAAAUAGGUGCUUAAGUCAUUGAGAGAGUGUGCGAGACAUUUUAGAGAGUUUGGGAGGUGUUAAGAGAGAAAGCUAUUCAUAGUAUAAACUUGUAUUAACUGUUCUUUGUGGGAUAACAGAGUAGUGCAGAGCAAUCCUAAGUACUAGUGAAGGGUAUUAGGUGUAUUGCUUGUAGACUCUUGUUGUAAACACUAUAAGAUUCUAGUGGAUUCCGAGGAGAGUCUCGGCCCAGACGUACCUACCCUAUGGGAGUGAACUGGGUUACCAAAUUCUCGUGUGUGUUCUCUAUUUUGUUUCUCUAUUUCUUGCAAAGUCUUGUUCUUCUUACAAACAUUCUUGAACGAGUUUCUGAAGUACAUCACUCAUCUCUGAAGUAGUUCUGUUCUAGGAUCUGUUUUGAGUCACUGAGUAAAGUAAAGUCGACGUCUUUAGUUCUGUCGUUUCUUAACAGAUUGGUAUCAGAGCACCAUGUUGGUGUUCUUUGUGGUUCUGAAAAGGGUUUAAGAUCUUGAACCAUGUCUACAACUAGAAUAGAAGUUGAGAAGUUUGAUGGUCGUUGUGAUUACACGAUGUGGAAGGAGAACUGUUGGCUCAUAUGGAUAUAUUGGGUCUGUGUACUGCUCUCAAAGAAUCAGAGAGCAAGGGUGAGGAGUUAUCAGGUCCAGACGAAUUUGAUGAAGACUAUAAAGAGAAGCUCGAAAAGUUCAAAGCUUUAGAAGAAAAGAAGAGAAAGGCUAGGAGCGCCAUAGUUCUUAGUGUCAUUGAUAGAGUCCUAAGGAAGAUAAAGAAGGAAUCGACAGCCGCUGCAAUGUUGUUAGCCUUGGAUAGGCUAUACAUGUCGAAAGCCUUUCCAAAUAGGAUCUAUCUGAAGCAGAAGCUUUACAGCUACAAGAUGUCUGAAAAUCUGUCAGUAGAAGGUAAUAUCGAUGAAUUCCUUUAGAUUAUUACAAACUUAGAGGACAUGAAUGUUAAUAUCUCUGAUGAGGAUCAAGCUAUUCUGCUGUUAACAUCGCUUCCAAAAGCUUUUGAUCUGCUUAAGGAUACUCAGAAAUAUAGCUCGGGUAAGUCUAUAUUAACCUUAGAUGAGGUUGUUGCAGCCAUCUACUCUAAAGAGUUGGAGUUAGGGUCUGUAAAGAAGAGUAUCAAGGUUCAGGCUGAAGGUCUUUUUGUUAAAGACAAGAAUGAGGCUAAAGGAAAGGGUGAACAAAAGGGAAAGGGGAAAGGAAAGAAGGGCAAAUCCAAGAAGAAACCCGGGUGCUGGAUUUAUGGUGAAGAAGGACACUUCAGAGCUUCCUGUCCAAACCAGAACAAGCCACAGUUCAAGCAGAGUCAAGUAGCAAAGGGAGAAUCCUUAGGAGGAAAAGGAAACAUAGCUGAAGCAGCUGGUUAUUAUGUAUCUGAGGCGUUGUCAUCAACUGAUAUCCGUUUAGAAGAUGAAUGGAUACUAGAUACAGGCUGUAGCUAUCACAUGACCUACAAGAGGGAAUGGUUUGAAGAGUUCGAUGAAGAAGCAGGAGGUUGUGUCAGAAUGGGAAACAAGACUGUUUCUCGGGUAAAAGGAAUUGGAACCAUCAGGGUCAAAAAUGAUGAUGGUCUGUCUGUGGUUCUCACAAAUGUGAGAUAUAUUCCUGAUAUGGAUAGAAAUCUGCUAUCUUUGGGGACUUUUGAAAAGGCAGGUUACAAGUUUGAGUCAGAAAAUGGAAUCUUAAGCAUUAAAGCUGGAAGUCAAGUGCGACUUACUGGAAGAAGGUAUGACACUCUUUAUUUGCUUAACUGGAAACCUGUAGCUAGUGAAUCACUUGAUGUAGUUAGGAGAAUGGAUGAUACUGUGUUAUGGCAUAGAAGUUUAUGUCAUAUGAGUCGAAAGAACAUGGAGAUUUUGGUCAAGAGAGGACUUCUAGAUGGUAAGAAAGUCUCAGUUCUCGACACCUGCGAGGACUGCAUUUAUGGUAAAGCCAAGAGAAUUGGUUUCAAUUCGGCUCAUCAUGGUACCACUAAGAAGUUAGAAUAUGUUCAUUCAGACCUUUGGGGAGCUCCAUUAGUUCCAUUCUCAUUAGGGAAGUGCCAAUACUUCAUGUCAGUUAUUGAUGAUUACACUAGAAAGGUGUGGGUUUAUUUUCUGAAAACCAAAGAUGAAGCCUUCGAGAAGUUUGUUGAUUGGGUCAGUUUGGUUGAGAAUCAGAGUGACAAUAGAGUGAAGACUCUUAGAACAGACAAUGGUCUGUAACAAGUUGUUUGAUGGUUUUUGUGAAUCAAAAGGGAUUCAAAGGCACAGAACGUGUGCUUACACACCUCAACAGAAUGGGGUUGCUGAACGCAUGAAUAGAACCAUCAUGGAGAAAGUGAGAAGCAUGCUGAGUGAUUGAGGUCUACCUAUGAAGUUUUGGGCAGAGGCAACUCACACUGCAGUACUUCUCAUCAAUAAAACACCAUCAUCAGCUCUUAAUUUUGAGAUUCCUGACAAGAAGUGGUCAGGAAAACCACCGGUUUACAGUUAUCUGAGAAGGUAUGGAUGUAUAGCUUUCAUUCACUCUGAUGAUGGAAAGCUUGAACCAAGAGCUAAGAAGGGAGUGUUUAUUGGUUACCUGUUGGAGUAAAAGGGUAUAAAGUGUGACUGCUGGAUGAAAGAAAGUGUGUGGUUAGUAGAAAUGUCAUCUUUCAAGAAAAUGUUGUGUACAAGGAUCUGAUGCUGACACGUGAGAAUGUGUCUAGUGAAGAAGAUGAUCAAACUGGAUCAUAUCUAGAUCUUGACCUUGAAGCAGAAGAUGAUGUUAUCUCAGGUGGAGAUCAAGGGAUGUCUUAGACAACUCCUGUACCAGAAAGUCCAGUACACGCUACUCCACUCAGUAAAACUGCAAAUGAUAAUGGUGUUUCUGAAGUAAAUCAGUCUCCUCCGAGUUAUCAUUUAGUAAGAGACAGAGACAGAAGAGAGAUUAGAGCACCAAGACGUUUUGAUGAUGAAGAUUACUAUGCUGAGGCAUUGUAUACAACUGAAGAUGGUGAUGUAGUUGAGCCGGAGAGUUUCAACGAGGCAAAAAUGGACUCUAAUUGGAACAAAUGGAAGCUUGCUAUGAAUGACGAGAUCGAUUCUCAAGAGAAAAACAACACGUGGACAGUAGUCACGAGACCUGAGAAUCAAAGAAUCAUUGGCUGCAGGUGGAUCUACAAGUAUAAGCUUGGGAUUCUGGGUGUAGAAGAACCAAGAUUCAAAGCAAGACUUGUUGCCAAGGGGUAUUCUCAACGAGAAGGAAUUGACUAUCAUGAGAUCUUUGCUCAUGUGGUAAGACAUGUAUCUAUAAGGGUUUUGCUGACUAUAGUAUCACAAGAGGACUUGGAACUAGAGCAGUUAGAUGUGAAAACAGCUUUUCUGCAUGGAGAGCUGAAGGAGAAGAUCUACAUGUCACCUCCAGAAGGUUAUGAGUCAAUGUUCAAAGAGAAUCAGGUAUGUCUUUUGAAUAAAGCCCUGUAUGGACUGAAGUAGGCACCAAAACAAUGGAAUGAGAAGUUUGACAACUUCAUGAAAGAGAUUGGUUUUGUGAAAAGUCAGUAUGAUAACUGUGCUUACACUAAGGUGCUGCAGAACGGUUCAAUGAUGUAUCUUCUCAUCUAUGUGGAUGAUAUGCUUGUAGCAGCAAAGGAUAAAGAAGCAAUAGCCUCUUAAAAGUCUGAGUUGAGCAAGCGUUUUGAGAUGAAAGAUUUGGGGGCUGCUAAGAAGAUACUUGGUAUGGAGAUCAACAGAAACAGAUCAGAGGGUGCUCUAUGGCUGUCUCAGGAAGGUUACUUGAAUAAGAUUCUUGAAACUUACAAUAUGUCAGAACCAAAGCCUGCAAUGACUCCACUUGGAGCUCAUUUUAAGUUUCAAGCUGCAACAGAACAGAAACUGGUCAGAGAUGAAGACUUUAUGAAGUUUGUUCCCUACUCAAGCGCUGUGGGAAGCAUCAUGUAUGCCAUGAUUGGGACACGUCCUGACCUUGCUUAUCCAGUGGGUAUCGUCAGCCGCUUCAUGAGUAAACCGAGUAAAGAUCAUUGGGUUGGAGUGAAAUGGGUGUUGAGAUACAUUAAAGAUACUUUGAAAACAAGACUGUGUUACAAGAAAAGCUCAAGUUUCAAGAUUGUGGGCUAUUGUGAUGCAAAUUAUGUUGAUGACCUUGAUAAGAGAAGAUCAAUCACUGGUCUUGGUUUUACACUUGGUGGAAACACCAUAAGUUGGAAGUCAAGUCUACAAAGAGUUGUUGCUCAGUCAACAACAGAAUCAGAGUACAUGUCACUUAAUGAAGCAGUGAACGAGGCAGUUUGGUUAAAAGGUUUGUUGAAAGACUUCAGGUAUGAUCAGAAGAGUGUGGAGGUCUUCUGUGAUUCUCAGAGGGCUAUUCCACUCUCGAAGAACAAUGUGCAUCAUGAAAGAACCAAGCACAUUGAUGUUAAGUUCCAUUACAUCCGAGAGAUCAUAUCAGAUGGAACUGUUGAGGUGUUGAAGAUAACUACAGAGAAGAACCCAGAGGAUAUAUUCACCAAAGUUUUGGCAGUGAGUAAGUUUCAAAUAGCUUUGAACUUGCUCCGUGUCAAGUCUGAGUAGUAAACUCGGAGAAUCCGAGACUAGAAUCCAGAGGCUAGAAUCAGGUACUCUUUCUCUCUCUUGUAACUCUAAACAGUUUGAAUGUUUGUGGCUUAUGCUAUCUAGUGGAGAUUUGUGAAGACUGAUAGCUUGAAGCACAAGGUGAUAUUCAAAUGUUUGGCCUUAACCUUAAGACUUAACCCAAGGUAAAGUAACUCAACCUUGGUUAGUCUACUUUUGGGACCACAACAAAGCAAACGGCUAUGAAGGAGCUUGCCUCGCAAUGGCAUCGGUUUGCUUUAAGGACAGUUUGUCCAUUUGUGUGUGCAAAGAGAGGAGGUUAAAGAAGGAGACAACAAUCGCUUUCAAGCUGGCAGUUUUGGCGUUUUAAGGAGCGUAGGCUCCGGCUUGUUAUUUGCUGGGGUGAAGCCCUAAUCUACUUUGAAGUAUAAAUAGGUGCUUAAGUCAUUGAGAGAGUGUGCGAGACAUUUUACAGAGUUUGUGAGGUGUUAAGAGAGAAAGCUAUUCAUAGUAUAAACUUGUAUUAGCUGUUCUUUGUGGGAUAACAGAGUAGUGCAGAGCAAUCCUAAGUACUAGUGAAGGGUAUUAGGUGUAUUGCUUGUAGACUCUUGUUGUAAACACUAUCAGAUUCUAGUGGAUUCCGAGGAGAGUCUCGGCCCAGACGUAGCUACCCUUUGGGAGUGAACUGGGUAUUAAAGUCUCGUGUGUGUUCUCUGUUUUGUUUCUCUAUUUCUUCCAAAGUCUUGUUCUUCUUACAAACACUCUUGAACCAGUUUCUGAAGUACAUCACUCAUCUCUGAAGUCGUUUUGUUCUAGGAUCUGUUUUGAGUCACUGAGUAAAGGAAAGUCGACGUCUUUAGCUCUGUGGUUUCUUAACAGUUACACUCUUCGGCUAACCAAAAUUUGACAUGUAUGGGGUUCUAAAAAUUACAUAUAAAGUAGCCGUUCUAAAGAAUGUGGGCCGUGCCUGACCUGAACAAGUUCGAUAAAAUCUGCUUAACCAAACCCAUUUACAGCGGCUUUUGUAACGCCCGCGAUCCUCAAUAGGAUCGUUGGCUAGGACUUGGUCCGAGAGAAGAAGGUGGAGUCUCGGACAAGUGAGAAGGAGCUGGCCAUAAGCUCGGACAAAGGGGAAAUCAUGCAGGCUAAGCUAGGAUCGUAAAGAAAUCACUUGGGUCAGCUCGCCCAAAGCUUAAGCCCAGCUGGAAGGAGUGACGGUUACUCAGGUCGAGUGACAGUCCAGCUCGGGCAGCUGGACGAGUGACGGUUGAGCUCGAGGUAGCUGGACGAGUGACGGACGAGCUCGAGGCGGCUGGACGAGUGACGGUUGAGCUCGAGGUAGCUGGGCGAGUGACGGACGAGCUCGAGGUAGCUGGACGAGUGACGGACGAACUGGGCGGUUAUGGGCGAAGAGAUACAACUCUUCGGAAAGGUGCAACUCUUCGGAAGGGCGCAACUCUUCGGAAAGGUGCAACUCUUCGGAAAGGUGCAAGGAACGGAUGUGUUGAUUCGGGAAGCAUCCAUUCGCCCCCUAUAUAAGGAAGGGCGCCCAGGACCAUUCCACUCACCACAACACACCGAAAACACAAGAAACUCACCAUUAAAACUCUCUCCCUCUUGGGAGAAUAAAUAGUCUUAGGAUUCGGUAGCCGGGCUGUGGCCGGCAAUAAAGAAGGAGGGUCAGAUCGACCUAACCUCGAGAAGGAAGGUAAGUGAUCCUAGACUUUGAGUCUAAGGGUUCUAGGAUGUGAGUUAGUAGUCGGAUCUUUGAAAGGAUCGACUAGAAGGCUGGGUAGUAUCCGGGUCAUGUGCAUCCUACACAAGACUCGGUCCGGGUAGGGAUCGGCUGAGGCGGGGACGCGGCUCGGCGGAGGACCGGCGGGUCUUAACUGACCUGCCGAGAAUCGGCCGGACUGAUGCGCGAUCUUCCCCUCUCUGAAUUCUCUUCACGGAUCCGAGUAGUGUAUGGCAUAUAGAGCAUUGCAUGGACUUGCAUAUGAUUAAGUAAAUGAGAUUACUUGUGGCUCUAUGACUUUCAGGAGCGAAUGGUGAUCGUGGGAAGGACUUGGCUUAGGCGCGAGAGACUCAAGGCCGAGAUGAUGGGUGGUGAUAGUUCGGUUAGUCUAGGGAUCGAUUAUAUGACUUGUAAUAGCUUAUAUGCAAACUCAUAGGUUGUAUCGAAUCCUUUGCUUAAUCAAUAAAGUAUCCGAUUGUUUGUUUACUCUAUUCGUCUCAUAUAUUGAAUCACGGAAUCAUAUGGAACGGAUUAGACUAGGAAAGAACCUCAUAAACGGUUAGGGCCGAGUCACUUAGUGGCUUGGGUCGAGAGAACUCGUCCGGACUUUAGGCAGUCCGCAUCGGGGCCUUUCAAAGUAUCAGAGCAUGCUUGGUUCUAGGACUAGGUGUUGGGUUAAGGGGUAUCACCACUCGUUGGCUUGAGAAUCUCGCGGUAGUUGUUCUUUACUCUUUUGCGAUUUUACUAGGAGUUAUGUGGAUUAACUUUGGAGGUUUCGCAGAUGGGUAAGAGCAGCAAAACGGGAAAGAGUAAGAAGGACAAGGGCAUUGUCGAGGAGACUUUGGUUGAGGAGGAAACGAUGAUCAACGAGAAAACCAGAGUCGGGACGAUGUUCGAUGGGACAGACUCGGCCGGACCUGAGGCCGGGAAGAAGUCCAUAAAUGAGGAAGCACCGGAGAGUAGUGGUGCAAGGGACAGCACGGAUAACCGGAACAAUACUCCAACGGCCCAAGAACAGUGGGAUUUGAUGAAGGGAAUGAUGGCGCAACUAGCCACAUUGACUAAGGCCGUUAUAGCGGAUCCGGUGGUCCUAAAAGUGGAUAACCAAAAGGAUGAUGACUCGGAAGUUGUGGAAGUGAAUCCACAACCGAAUCAUGGGCGGAAAAGGGGAGACUAUCUGAGUCUUCUCGAACAUGUCUCAAGGCUGGGCACGAGACACUUCAUGGGCAGUACGGACCCGAUUGUGGCCGAUGAGUGGAGGAGUAGACUCAAGAGGAACUUCAAGUCUACCCGCUGCCCUGAGGAUUACCAAAGGGACAUUGCGGUCCACUUCCUUGAAGGAGACGCCCAUAACUGGUGGUUAACCGUCGAGAAACGCAGAGGGGACGAGGUCCGGUCCUUUGCGGAUUUCGAAGACGAGUUUAACAAGAAGUACUUUCCACCGGAGGCUUGGGAUAGGCUUGAAUGUGCGUACCUUGACCUAGUUCAAGGGAACCGCACGGUGCGUGAAUAUGAUGAGGAAUUUAACCGCCUAAGGCGUUAUGUGGGACGUGAACUUGAGGAGGAACAAGCUCAACUGCGCCGAUUUAUCCGUGGACUAAGGAUAGAGAUCCGCAACCAUUGUUUGGUCCGGACAUUCAACUCGGUUUCCGAAUUGGUUGAAAGGGCAGCAAUGAUUGAGGAAGGGAUCGAGGAGGAGAGGUACUUGAACCGGGAGAAAGCACCGAUCCGGAACAAUCAAUCCACCAAACCCGCGGAUAAGAAAAGGAAGUUUGACAAGGUGGAUAACACCAAGUCCGAUGCUAAGACCGGGGAAUGCGUGACCUGUGGUAAGAAUCACAGCGGAACUUGCUGGAAGGCCAUAGGUGCAUGUGGCCGGUGUGGAAGCAAGGACCAUGCGAUCCAAAGUUGCCCGAAAAUGGAACCAGGACAGUCCAAGGUUCUCGGUGAAGAGACAAGGACUUGUUUCUAUUGCGGAAAGACUGGACAUCUAAAGCGAGAGUGCCCUAAGUUGACUGCGGAGAAGCAGGCCGGACAAAGGGACAAUCGCGGGGGAAAUGGACUGCCGCCUCCCCCAAAGCGGCAAGCCGUGGCAUCGCGAGUUUAUGAGUUGUCGGAGGAAGCUAACGAUGCCGGAAACUUCAGGGCGAUCACUGGUACGUUCUCACAACUCCCUAUUCAUUAUUUCAAUAACUGCAUUUGCAUUGCAUCAUGCAUAUGGGAAAGGGGAGGUACUCAGCAUUCUAAGGGAAUGUGUAGGGACCUUGAGAGUAGGUGACGUAGUAACGCACACUCUAUUUGAUUCUGGGGCUACACAUUGUUUUGUUAGUCCGGAAUUGGUUGAAACAGGUGGGUUCAGGAAAGAACCAAACACCGAUUAUGGAAUGGUACGAGCGGCCGGCGGACAGGCAAUGUAUCCGACCGGACUUGUUCGGGGCAUCUCGGUUGUAGUGAACGGUGUCAAUAUGCCCGCGGACCUAAUCAUUGUUCCACUAAAGAAACAUGAUGUUAUCUUAGGGAUGGACUGGUUGGGGAAGUACAAGGCCCACAUAGAUUGUCACCGAGGACGGAUACAAUUCGAGAGGGACGAAGGUAUGUUAAAAUUCCAAGGAAUAAGAACAACCUCGGGAAGCUUGGUAAUCUCGGCAAUCCAGGCUGAAAGGAUGCUCGGGAAAGGAUGUGAGGCAUAUUUAGCCACGAUCACAACCAAGGAAGUGGGGGCGAGUGCGGAGUUGAAAGACAUUCCGAUCGUCAACGAGUUCUCGGACGUGUUUGCGGCCGUUAGUGGUGUACCACCGGACCGGUCAGACCCGUUCACGAUAGAACUCGAGCCCGGGACAACCCCCAUAUCUAAAGCUCCGUACCGGAUGGCACCGGCGGAAAUGGCGAAGCUAAAGAAACAGUUGGAGGAGUUGUUGGAUAAAGGAUUCAUCAGGCCGAGUAGCUCACCAUGGGGUGCGCCUGUUCUGUUUGUGAAAAAGAAAGAUGGUAGCUUUAGGCUAUGCAUCGACUAUCGGGGAUUGAAUAAAGUUACGGUGAAAAACAAAUAUCCUUUACCCCGGAUAGAUGAGUUGAUGGAUCAACUUGGAGGUGCACAGUGGUUUUCAAAAAUCGACUUGGCCUCAGGAUAUCACCAAAUUCCCAUAGAGCCAACGGACGUGAGGAAAACGGCUUUCCGGACAAGGUACGACCACUUUGAGUUUGUGGUCAUGCCAUUCGGAUUGACCAAUGCACCAGCAGCUUUCAUGAAAAUGAUGAAUGGGGUAUUCCGGGAUUUCUUAGACGAGUUUGUUAUCAUCUUCAUUAACGAUAUCCUUGUUUACUCAAAAUCUUGGGAAGCUCACCAAGAACAUCUAAGGGCGGUGCUGGAACGGCUAAGGGAACAUGAGCUAUUUGCGAAGUUAAGUAAAUGCUCAUUUUGGCAAAGGAGUGUUGGUUUUCUUGGUCAUGUUAUCUCGGACCAAGGAGUAUCGGUUGAUCCGGAGAAAAUACGGUCGAUAAAGGAGUGGCCACGACCAAGGAAUGCCACCGAGAUUAGGAGUUUUCUCGGACUAGCGGGGUAUUACCGAAGGUUCGUAAUGAGUUUUGCGAGCAUGGCCCAACCCUUGACCCGACUGACCGGAAAAGACACCGCAUUCAACUGGUCGGAUGAGUGCGAGAAAAGCUUCCUGGAGUUAAAGGCCAUGUUGACUAAUGCACCAGUAUUGGUCUUACCGGAGGAAGGUGAGCCCUAUACGGUUUAUACGGACGCAUCAAUAGUGGGACUAGGAUGCGUACUGAUGCAAAAGGGGAGUGUUAUCGCAUACGCAUCAAGGCAAUUGCGGAAACAUGAGAAGAACUACCCUACGCAUGAUUUGGAAAUGGCCGCGGUAGUAUUUUUCUUGAAGAUUUGGCGAUCAUACUUGUAUGGUGCUAAAGUUCAAAUCUAUACUGACCACAAAAGCCUAAAGUACAUAUUCACCCAGCCGGAGUUGAAUCUAAGGCAAAGAAGGUGGAUGGAACUUGUGGCGGAUUACAACUUGGAUAUAGCGUACCAUCCGGGCAAGGCCAACCAAGUCGCCGACGCCCUAAGUAGGAGGCGCUCGGAAGUUGAGGCGGAACGGAGCCAAGUGGACUUGGUUAACAUGAUGGGGACAUUGCAUGUGAAUGCCUUGUCUAAAGAAGUUGAACCCUUAGGGUUGGGAGCCGCCGAUCAGGCCGACCUGCUUAGUAGGAUCCGGCUGGCUCAGGAACGGGACGAGGAGAUAAAAGGAUGGGCUCAAAACAAUAAGACCGAGUACCAAACCUCGAACAAUGGUACAAUCGUGGUGAACGGUCGAGUAUGUGUGCCGAACGAUAGGGCAUUAAAGGAGGAGAUCCUAAGAGAGGCCCAUCAAUCGAAGUUCUCAAUCCAUCCUGGGUCGAACAAGAUGUACCGCGACCUUAAAAGGUACUACCAUUGGGUAGGAAUGAAGAAAGACGUGGCCAGAUGGGUGGCCAAGUGCCCGACUUGUCAACUGGUCAAGGCGGAGCAUCAAGUACCAAGUGGGUUGUUACAAAACCUACCUAUACCGGAAUGGAAGUGGGACCACAUAACGAUGGACUUCGUCACUGGACUGCCAACGGGGAUCAAGUCCAAACACAAUGCGGUAUGGGUUGUGGUAGACCGAUUGACUAAGUCUGCGCACUUCAUGGCGAUCUCGGAUAAGGAUGGAGCAGAAAUCAUUGCCGAGAAGUAUAUAGACGAGAUCGUGCGGUUACAUGGGAUUCCGGUUAGUAUAGUGUCAGACCGAGACACAAGGUUCACGUCAAAGUUUUGGAAGGCUUUCCAAAAGGCCUUAGGAACUCGAGUGAACCUAAGUACUGCCUACCACCCACAAACGGACGAACAGUCCGAACGAACGAUUCAAACCCUCGAGGACAUGUUGAGGGCAUGCGUCUUGGAUUGGGGAGGAAACUGGGAGAAAUAUCUAAGGUUAGUAGAGUUUGCAUACAAUAAUAGUUUUCAAGCUAGUAUUGGUAUGUCUCCCUAUGAGGCGUUGUAUGGCCGAGCUUGUAGAACACCGUUGUGUUGGACGCCCGUGGGCGAACGUCGGUUGUUUGGACCUACGAUCGUGGAUGAAACCACGGAGAGAAUGAAGUUCUUAAAGAUCAAGUUAAAGGAAGCCCAAGAUCGACAGAAAAGCUACGCCAACAAACGUCGAAAGGAAUUGGAAUUCCAAGUAGGAGAUUUGGUGUACUUAAAGGCGAUGACCUACAAAGGGGCAGGACGAUUCACCUCAAGGAAAAAGUUAAGCCCAAGGUAUGUUGGCCCGUACAAGGUGAUCGAACGAGUAGGGGCGGUGGCAUACAAACUUGACCUUCCUCCAAAACUAAAUGCGUUUCACAACGUCUUCCAUGUGUCACAAUUACGGAAGUGUUUAAGUGAUCAAGAAGAAAGCGUGGAAGAUAUACCUCCCGGGUUAAAGGAGAACAUGACGGUGGAAGCAUGGCCGGUACGGAUCAUGGACCGAAUGACGAAAGGGACUCGGGGAAAAGCAAGGGAUUUGUUAAAAGUCUUGUGGAAUUGUAGAGGCCGUGAGGAAUACACUUGGGAAACCGAGAAUAAGAUGAAGGCCAAUUUUCCGGAGUGGUUCAAGGAGAUGGGUAAAGAUCAACUUGAUGCGGAUUCGAGGACGAAUCCAAUUCAAGGGGGGGAGACUUGUAACGCCCGCGAUCCUCAAUAGGAUCGUUGGCUAGGACUUGGUCCGAGAGAAGAAGGUGGAGUCUCGGACAAGUGAGAAGGAGCUGGCCAUAAGCUCGGACAAAGGGGAAAUCAUGCAGGCUAAGCUAGGAUCGUAAAGAAAUCACUUGGGUCAGCUCGCCCAAAGCUUAAGCUCAGCUGGAAGGAGUGACGGUUACUCAGGUCCAGUGACAGUCCAGCUCGGGCAGCUGGACGAGUGACGGUUGAGCUCGAGGUAGCUGGGCGAGUGACGGACGAGCUCGAGGCGGCUGGACGAGUGACGGUUGAGCUCGAGGUAGCUGGGUGAGUGACGGACGAGCUCGAGGUAGCUGGACGAGUGACGGACGAACUGGGCGGUUAUGGGCGAAGAGAUACAACUCUUCGGAAAGGUGCAACUCUUCGGAAGGGCGCAACUCUUCGGAAAGGUGCAACUCUUCGGAAAGGUGCAAGGAACGGAUGUGUUGAUUCGGGAAGCAUCCAUUCGCCCCCUAUAUAAGGAAGGGCGCCAGGACCAUUCCACUCACCACAACACACCGAAAACACAAGAAACUCACCAUUAAAACUCUCUCCCUCUUGGGAGAAUAAAUAGUCUUAGGAUUCGGUAGCCGGGCUGUGGCCGGCAAUAAAGAAGGAGGGUCAGAUCGACCUAACCUCGAGAAGGAAGGUAAGGGAUCCUAGACUUUGAGUCUAAGGGUUCUAGGAUGUGAGUUAGUAGUCGGAUCUUUGAAAGGAUCGACUAGAAGGCUGGGUAGUAUCCGGGUCAUGUGCAUCCUACACAAGACUCGGUCCGGGUAGGGAUCGGCUGAGGCGGGGACGCGGCUCGGCGGAGGACCGGCGGGUCUUAACUGACCUGCCGAGAAUCGGCCGGACUGAUGCGCGAUCUUCCCCUCUCUGAAUUCUCUCCACGGAUCCGAGUAGUGUAUGGCAUAUAGAGCAUUGCAUGGACUUGCAUAUGAUUAAGUAAAUGAGAUUACUUGUGGCUCUAUGACUUUCAGGAGCGAAUGGUGAUCGUGGGAAGGACUUGGCUUAGGCGCGAGAGACUCAAGGCCGGGAUGAUGGGUGGUGAUAGUUCGGUUAGUCUAGGGAUCGAUUAUAUGACUUGUAAUAGCUUAUAUGCAAACUCAUAGGUUGUAUCGAAUCCUUUGCUUAAUCAAUAAAGUAUCCGAUUGUUUGUUUACUCUAUUCGUCUCAUAUAUUGAAUCACGGAAUCAUAUGGAACGGAUUAGACUAGGAAAGAACCUCAUAAACGGUUAGGGCCGAGUCACUUAGUGGCUUGGGUCGAGAGAACUCGUCCGGACUUUAGGCAGUCCGGAUCGGGGCCUUUCAGCUUUCUCGAAUAAGUUCCAGUUUAGAUUUUCAGAUCUAGGUUAAUGAAUAUUUUUAAUAUUUUUGGAUAGGGGUUGAGAAAUUGAUAAUCCCCAAUUUACACUCUUGCCUGAGAUUCUCGCCCUCCAAAGAUGAAUGUCACUACAAAUCUCGUUAUUGCACUUCUCGUUCUAUUUUUUCUGUUUGUUGUUGUUUUCUACAUCCUCUUCCACUACCCCAAAAUUUCAAAUCAUCUUUCAGAUGCAAUCAGUUCAAAAGAAGACUUCCUUGUUCGUUCUUUACCCUCCUCUCUAGUUUCUACAACCUCUCCGGCGACGGGGGACUCCGUCCUGGAGAUGGUGGACAGCUCUUGUGCAUCCACCAAUUACUCUUUUUUCCACUAACCCAUCUCUCCUCUCCUUUUGAUGAGCUCGAUAAACGUUUUCAUACUAGCACAGGUCUAAACCUAGUUCAUUAUUACUUUCUGAUCAUCACUUCUAAAAUUGAUAUUCAAAUUAGCAAAAGUACAGAAUCAAUUAUAUAAAAUAAGGAUGGUUAAUUAAACAAUUUGGGUAAAUAAAAAUUGGGCUAGAUGAAUAAUGAUAAUGUCUGGAUUUAUAAAUAAAUAAAUAAUCUGACGACGUCGUAUGCCAAGUUUGCAACCAUUUGAGGGGUCAUCUUUUUCUUCGUCCCUGAUUCCUCUGAUCAAACUGCUUCCAACUGUUGUCUCUUCCAUUCCAGUAAUUUUAAUUCGUUAACAUUCUUUUAACAUGAACCCUAAAAUCUUAAACAUCUAUAAUAAUCACAUAAUAGAAUCAAAAGAGUGUUAAAGAAAUACCUCCACUCAUUGUAGAAAUGAUGCUACCUUUAAAUGGUUCCUUGAAGAUGAAGCUCCUAUGUCUUUAGGUAUAAGAUUUCUCUCCCCUUGCCUAUAUGUCUUUCUCUUUAAGUGUUGUUUUUUUUGUUCACGUGAUUUGUGAUGGAGCAAAUCAUCUAUAUAUAGGUGGGGAGAGGACCCCAUUCCACAUUAGGGUUUUGCCCUUUUAAUUCAGUCUCAACCAUCCAUCAUAGUAGAGAUGUAGGCAAUUGACAAGUGUGAGAACAUGUGUCUAGCUUUGGUUCUUUAUCUUGGACAAGUGUGCAUUCAUAGCUUUCUCAUCAAGUUUCAAAGUUUUCUCACCAAGUUAUUAACCUUAGCAUGACAUGUAGCUUAACAUUUGUCUUCUCAUGACAUUAGUCACUUGUCCUCUUAUUGUUCUAUCUAAACUCAUUAGGGAAUUAACUCCUUAAUUACUAAUUCUAUUGGUUACAUCAAAUGUUUAUCAAAAUAUAACAAUCCUAUAUGAAACCAACUAUAAGACCACAUACAUAGGUAAGAAAUAAUUAUUUCUUACAUUCUCCCACUUGGUCGUUAGUUUAAUGGUUUUAUUCGGGAACUGUAAGGCUAGCAUCAUAUGUUAUAUUUUGUAUUUUGGUCUUUCAUAAGUGUCUUAGCUAUUUUAGUAACCAAUAAGAGUCAUGGCGGUCACACAUCAUUUUGCAACAUGAUUCCUUCCAUGUACUACUUAAUUGACUACUUUCAUAACUAGACCAUAAACUUAAGUAGGAGUUUUCUUAAUGAACAUAUCCCGACUUCGUGAAAGCUCUAUAGAAUUCAGUCAUUUCAAUUCUCAUAGGUGCAACCGCGACACCACUCUCAUAUAGGUAACCUUAAUUAAGAAUAGUCCAUUCUAUUCCACUUUAAAAAAAAUAUUAAUGUUAUUAAGAAAAAUAUUCAUCCCUUUAAACAUCAAUGGAAAUACAUUUAAUUUCAUAGGAAUAAGUAGUAUGUAUCUCUUUCUUGAGUCUUCCUCAGCAAGAUUGCCUCUUGAACCUAAACCAUGGGAUCUCCAAUGUUGCUAAGUAAGGUUUCCACCAAGUGAUGACUCAUUGUGUUGGCUAUAAACCCAUUCCCCUCGAAGUGAAUACGACUUGCUCUUUCGCUAGACCUUUAGUCAAAAGAUCAGCCAGGUUAUCCUUUGAUCUAAUAUAAUCCAAUGUUAUCACUCCAUUGAAAGAAAUUGUCGUAUUGUAGCAUGUCUCCUUCGAAUAUGCCUUGAUUUGCCAUUGAAAAUUUUAUUUUUCGCUAUAUUUAAGGCAAUGGAUACAUAGUGCAGUUACCAGCUUUGGCAAUAAUGAAAUAUCUUCAAUAAAAUACCUUAGCCAUUCGGCUUCUUCUCCAACACUAUCUAGUGCGAUAAAUUCAGAUUCCAUUGUAGAACGUGCAAUACACGUUUGCUUAGAUGAUCUCCAAGACACAGCUCCACCACCAAGUGUAAACACAUAACCACUUGUGGAAUUACUAUCCGUACUUCCAGAAAUCUAAUUUGCAUCACUAUAUCCUUCCAAUACAGGAGGAAAUUUAGUGUAAUGUAGAACAUAAUUAAUUGUAUACUUUAAGUAUCUUAAUAUUCUAACCAAAGCAUUUCAAUGUUCUCUAUUUGGAUUAUUUGAAUAUCGACUUAAUCGACUUAUUGAGUAAGCCAAAUUUGGUCUUGUACAAUUUGUAAUGUACAUGAUGUUUCCAGAAUUUGUGUGUAUUCCAACUGAGACACACUUUCACCUUCAUUCUUUGAAAGCUUGCACGUUGGAUCAAACAGAGUAACUACCGGUGCAUCAUCAAAGUGACCAAACUUCUUUAGAACUUUCUCCACAUAAUGAGAUUGAGUAAGGGAAUACUCAUUUGGCUCUUUUUUAAUUCUAAUUCCAAGAAUUACAUCAGCCAAUCCCAUGUCUUUCAUUUCAAAUUUUGUCACUCAACAUCUUCUUUGUGGCAUUGAUAAUGUCUUUACUUGUUCCCAUUAUUAACAUAUCAUCCACAUAAAGACAUACAAUGAUCGUAUCCUUUUUUAGUUUCCUUAAAGUAGACACACUUCUCACAUUCAUUUAUUUUAAAACCACACAAUCUCAUUGUAUUAUCAAACUUCUCAUGCCACUAUUUUGGCGCUUGCUUAAGUCCACACAAAGACUUUUUAAGCUUACAAACUUUCUUCUCUUUCCCUUUAACUAUAAAUCCUUCAGGUUGUUCCAUAUAUAUUUCUUCAUUAAGUUCACCAUUUAGGCAUUGGCGGAUCCAGAAAUAUUUUUUACCUCUUAGAUGAAGUUUUCGAAACCAAAGAACGAAUAGUUAUGAGACUUUAUUGGUAAAUGAUAGACUUUUUUAAUUAGAGUAGAAUUAAAUAAUUAGUUAUUGUGGAGUGUUUGACAAUAAAUAGUCAUUGUUGUGGAGUUUUUAAAGCUUUUUAGAACAAAAACGUUGAUCUAUAAUGGGUGAACGACCUGUGUCUCCCCAGGAAGUUUCAUAUAGCACCACAAAUACACAGAAUUUGAAUGUCUAUCUCAGUCCCCACAAAAUGGAAGUUAAAGUCCAAUUUCAUUAUAGAUCAAAUCAAACGAACAAGUCUUACGAACUCUUAGAAUUCAAACUUUCGAUUUAGGGAAAAACUGGACAUUAACUUCCAUUUUGUGGGGAGUGAAAUAGAGAUUCGAGUUCUAUGUAGUUGUGAUGCUAUAUGAAACUUUCUGGGGGGACAUAGGUCGUUCACCCAUCUAUAAUUAAUGGGGUGUCAAAAACAAAAAUUGAAUGGGUUCAAUAUUGUUAAGGCCGUAAAAUUUUGAAGAAAACAUCAAAAAUGGGGUGUCAAAAACGAAAAUUGAGUGGGUUCAAUAUUAUUCACGUUGUAAACUUUUGAAGAAAAAAUCAAAAUUAUAUGGGGGGUCAAUUGAACCCCCUUUCUUCUACAUAGGUACGCCAUUGAAUUUAGGAAUGCUGUUUUAACAUCCAUUUGAUGAAUUUCUAGAUCAUAUAUCUAAUCGAAGUGAUUCUAGUCACAGGAGAAUACAUAUCAAAGAAAUCAAGCCCUUCUUUUUUACGAAACCCUUUCGCCACUAGUCUCGCUUUAUAUUUUUCAAUCGUACCAUCCGGUCUCAACUUCUUUGUGAAGAUCCAUUUCUGUCCAAUUAGUUUAUUACCAGGUGGUAAAUCAACCAAUUCCCAUGUAUGAUUUCUCAAAAUGUAUUCAACUUUACUCUGAAUCACCUCUUUCCAAUAAGGUGCAUCCGAUGAUUCAAUUGCAGCCUUAUAUGUUUGAGGUUCGUAUUCACUCAAGUACGUCCUAAAGUCUUUGCAAAAAUCUGUUACAACUCUUGCUCUUUUACUUCUUCUUGGUUCAUUUUCUUCUUCUUGAACUUUUGAGGCACAUUCAUUGUCCUCACGUACCCGUUUAGUACUUGUUUCCCUAGACUCUUUGUAUGGAAAACACUUUCAAAGAACUCAGCCUCAUUAGAUUCAAUGAUCGUAUUUACCUUUACCUCAACAUUAUUAGAUUUAUGAACUAAAAAUCUAUAAGCUGAACUAUUUUUCGCAGGGCCGUUGUAAACGCAAUUCACCGUUUUUGGUCCUAUAAUAGUUAUUUUUGGUAAUCAUACUUGAACCUUUACAAGACAACCCCACACUUUCAUAUUUUUAUAUGAAGGAGUCUUCUCUUUCCACAUCUCAUAUGGAGUUUUAUCACUCUUCUUGUGAGGAAAUUUAUUCAAGAUUGAAUUAGCCGUGAGAAUGGCUUCACCCCCAUAGGUUAGGUGGUGCACCCGAAUCGUUUAACAUGAAAUUCAUCAUCUCUUUAAGAGUUAUAUUUUUCCUUUCGGCAACUCCGUUUUGCAUCGGAGUGUAAGGUGCCAUAGUUUGAUGGAUGAUUCCAUGUGUGGAACAAAAAUCUGAGAAUUCAUUUGAUUUGUAUUCUCCGCCACGAUCUGAUUGGGCAAUUUUUAUUCUCUUAUCUAAUUGAUUUUCAACUUUUGCUUUGAAUUUCUUAAACAUAUUCAAAGCAUCUUCCACGGGUUUGGCUUUUGUGUUUUGCUUGAGGGCAAACAAAAACUAUGUCUGGAGGAGUUAAUAUAACCCUAUUUUUACUGUUUUUAACUAUAUUUUAGAUAUAGGUUUUUGACUAUGUUUUUGAAACUAUAGUUUCACUAUAAUUUUAAAUAAUUUGUUUAGAAUCUUCCAACAUUCUCUAGUCUAUUGCCAUGAUCAUUCUAACCAAAUCCAUAUGCCUAGCAAGUGUAAUCAAAUCCUAGCCCACAUGUACUUCUCCGCAAGCUUACACAACAUUUUAGAUUCCAUACCUAAGUUCCACAACUAUAUCCACUAGGCUUUCAUCGCUGGGUCUCAUCAAGCAGGUUAAUAUUCAAGAACCUUUGAGACCCAUUCCUGUACUAUACCAUGAUAAAUUGACCAUUCUUUAUUUUUCUUUUCUUUUUGGUAUUCUUUCUCUCCCUCAAACUUAUUCUUUUUAAAGAGUAAACAAAGAUGUACUCGCAUACUGGAUAGACACCUUCAGCAUAUUCCCAACCUUUGUAAUUGAUCAUUCCUAAUAAUAUAUAAUAAUGAAGCCAUGGGAAACAUUCCUACCCCUAUACACUACCGAAAAUCAUAUCAAUCUCUUAUUUUUUAUAAUAAGAAAAGAGGAAUACUUUUCUUCUUCACAUUGGUCUCAAUAUCAGGUAUGAACAAAGAAUCAAGUUAUAUGAACACUAGCCGUUUAUAUGAUAUAAAAGGAAGAGCAGUGAUAUUAACUUCGUUCUUAAUGGAUUGUGUUGGAACAAGGAUAUCCUCAAAUCUGUUGGUUUGCCAUCUGAAUUUUCCAAUAGUCGGAUUGAGUCCAACCUGCAGCAAUAAUCUAAAGAAAUAUAGAUCAUGAUUCCUAACUAAACUAAACAAAAAAGGUAGUAAUUAGUAAAUAAUAAGAAUCAAAACGAAAAGCAUAAUUAGUAACCACCUCACCCAGACUUAAACAUCACUGUCCCCAGUUGCAUUCAAAUGCGAAGCGAGCGGGAAAAUGAAUUUUCAAAAAAGAAAAAAAAAAUCAUACCAGUGGGUUGCCUCCUACUAAGCGCUUGUUUAGAGUCUAUAGCUUGAAUUUGUGGAGUUCAGGACUUGGAUGGAUAUGUAAACAGAUCGGCUCUGUGUAGCAUCAAGUGUCGAUCGAUACUCUCUCCUUUUCCUGCAAGAUCAAUAGAAAAAACAAGCUUUCGAGAAAUUCAAUGCUCGUUUACCAGUGAAGCACACUUCGAAGAUUCUAAAGAAAUAAUCGAAGGAAAAGUAGGAGAAGAGAUAGAGGAGUACCUAGCACAGGAAAGUGGGGAGAGUGCUGACAUCAACCCGCUAGAAGCACACUCUGUAUUUUCACUGGAGAGUGUGCUUGUUUUAGAUAUAAUUAGAUAAUUACACAGAACCGGGAACAAGUACAGAUUCGAUUUCACUAGAACAAGAAAGCAAAUUACAACCAAUUCGCAAACAAGUAAAACAAGCACAACCCUCUUUAUUUACCGCUCCCUUCUAUUAACGUGAAACCUUAAAGAUAAUCUCUACCCUUAACUAAACUCUCUAAGUCUAGAUUUAAUCAGGAUAACCUAACCCUGAGCUAAACUCCCUCUAAGCCUAGACUUCAAUUCCUCAAGUCUCUCGAACAACCUUCACACACCACCAAACAAGCUUGAUCACACAAGCACCAAACCCGUAAAACUACGUCACACAAAACUGCGAAACUAUGUCCCACACACCUUAGAAAGCUCUCAACGAUAUGUCUCUAUGCCUCAGCUCUCCUGCUUCUCCAAGACGUCCUAACGCCUCCUUAUAUAGCCAAAACGAUUUCCUAAUCAGCCUAGGAGAAGAUUUUCUUUUUCCAUAAGAAAAAGUAAAUUUCUUUUUUACACUUUUCCUUUUUCUCAACAAACUCCAUGUUCAUCAAGUCUUCCAAAUCUCUUUCAGUUCUUUUUUCCUUUUCGAUUCAUCUUCUAAAUACGCUCUUCUCAAAUCUUUGUAGGAUGUUCAUACAUGAGAAUUUAAAAAUUAAUUUGUGUUUUCCUAUUAUUCAAUUUAUUGGUUUACUUGUUUACUUCACUAGACCAUCAAGUAUUCUUGGUGAAACGAGUGGUGCCAACAAGUCUUAGGCGAGGAUGUGGAGGGAUGGCUUAUUACAUAAUCUUUUUGUUUAAAGAGUAGGUUCUCGAAUCAAGAAGUAAGACAGUGUUUGAGAUCAAGAUUGAUGGAGAUAUUAAGGUUGCCAUUCAAGAAGCGGUUUUCAAGGAAUGAACAAAAUAAAUCUCUUCACGAGUUUAAGGUUGAUGGAAAAAAAGAAGUGUUGUGCAAGUCAUCAAAGGGCAUACAAUGUUUUGAGUGCAAAGGUUUUGGACAUAUGCGUUAUAAAUGUGCGAAUUUGAUGAAGGAAAAGGAGAAAAAAUUCAUCAUGAGUGCUUCUGGAAUUGAUUCAGAUGAUAGUAAAGAAUUGGAGAAUUUUGUGGCCUUUAUGACCUUUGAGUCUAGUAUUGCGUCAGCAUUUGCAUGUGUCAGCAUCUGCAUCAGGGUCUGCAUCAGCGUCUGCAACAAGAUCUGCAACUGAAAGUGAUAAUGAUCAAAGGGAUGAUGAUGAUGCAAGUAUUAGUGAUGAAGAGUUUGCAGAGAAUUACAAAACCUUAUAUGAGCAUUGUGUUAAGGUAGUUGAGGAGAAUUCAGUGUUAAAUAAGGAGAAGCUCAAGUUAGAGGCUAAAGUUGUUGAAACAAUGAAUCAGUUUGAUGGUUAUUAUAACUAAAUAUUAGAAGUUAGAGUUUCGGGUUUAGGGUUUACAUUGGAAACGCGAGCACCGCGACGAUUGCAGGAAAAGGCAAAGUGGUGUUAAAACUCACAUCUGGGAAGGAACUUGCACUCACAAACGUGCUCCAUGUCCCUCAGAUUCGAAAGAAUCUGAUUUCAGGCUCACUUCUUAGCAACAAAGGCUUUAAGAUUGUAUUUGAAUCUGAUAAGGUUGUACUCACUAAAGGUGAGAUGUAUGUAGGAAAAGGCUACUUAUGUGAUGGUAUUUUCAAAUUGAAUGUUGUAUCGAUCGUUAAUGAAAACGCAAGCAAUAGCACUGCUUCUGUUUAUUUGCUUGACUCAAAUGAUUUAUGGCAUGCAAGAAUGGGACAUGUCAAUUAUCAUUCUUUGUAUCGAAUGAUGAAUUUAGGAUUGUUACCAAAGAACAAUCUUAAUAAUAUUAAGAAAAGCAAAUGUGAAGUUUGUGUGGAAUCAAAAUAUUCACGACAUUCUUAUAAAUUUGUGGAAGUGUUAAAUGUAUUACUUGGUUUAAUACAUAGUGACUUAUGUGAUUUUCAAUCAACUCCAGGUCAUGGAGGAAAAAAUUAUUAUAUAUCUUUUAUUGAUGAUUAAAGCAAGUAUUGUCAAAUUUAUUUGAUUAAUACUAAAGAUGAGGGAACUGAAAUAGGUGUGGGCUGUGAAGGAGGUGAAGAAGCAUUUGUCUGGGACAAGCGAUGGUGUCGAUCGACACUGGUUUGGUGCACCUCUCAUAUGCGGGCUGAGCUGUAAGGGCCUUUGAUGUUGGCUCUAGAUUGGAAAUCUGAGCAGCCUUAGGAGAUGUGUCUUUGGGGGUGACAAUGUUGCUGAUAGACAAUGUGAAUUUUGAACCAUCCAUGCCAAACUCCAUCUCUAUAUCGCAUAUGUUGAGAGAGAUCAUUCCCUUCUUCACAUUAAUCCUGGCACGAUCUGUAGCUAGGAAAGUUCUACCAAGGAAUAAGAGACUUCUUGAGUUCUUCAUCAUAUGUCAGGAACCAUAAAAUCAGCAGGCAUGAGGCAAUUACCAACUCUCACAGGCACAUCCUCUAGGAUACCUUCAAGGACCCGUUUGGAACGAUCCGUGAAGAGAAGAGUGAUCCUUUUUGGCUUGUAGUUAGUCAUGCCUGUUCAUAAAUAGUUUCGGAAAAGAGGUUACCAUAAGGUGUCGAUCAGCACUGGUAGGUGUCGCUCAACACCAGCUCUGUAGCUGCGAGCUCCAACUCGUCUUCUAUAUCUAAUUCCUCCCAUACAUUGUCUCCAUCUCUAACGAAGAUAGCAUUGUUGAUCUUCCUUGGGUUAGUGUUAGGUGUGCCAUGAAGAAAACCUUCUUGUCUCUUGAUGGAUUGUGCAGUUUGAGAAACUUAAACAUCUAGAUACUUCAUGUGAGAGCUCAGAUUGUCGAUCUUCCCAUUAAGAUCUGUGUAGAUAGCAUCAAACUUGCCAUUGAAGUCCACAACUAACUUGGACUGACCCUCUAAAAUCUGCUAAAGCAUUGAUUCCAUCUUACUCUUAGCUGAGGGUGGAGGAGGGGUGGUAAAAUGAAUUACCAUAAGUCCUUUGGAAGUUGUUCUAAGAAAACAUUUUUUAGAAGGCAGGUAUUGGGGCAAAACUUGAAGAACUCUGGUUUCUUGUAAACCUGUUGCCACUAAAGUUGCCCUGUGGUAGUCCAACCUUUAUGUAACCUUGACCAUCAAUGUAGAAAACACCUUCUUCUGACUCUGGCUCAGGCUCAAUAGUCUCUACUUCAGCAGCAAAAUGUACAUGCUUCUUCCCUGUAAGCAAGUUAUGAACUAAAUUCACCUUAGUGUGUACCUUAGCCAUUUGAUUCCAUGAAACAGCUCUUUCUAUCUUCUUCCUCUCGAAGUCAGCAUUCUUGGUAUUAUUGCUACAUGCAAUGUUCUCAAUCAAAGUAGUAGCAUAUGUCCGGUAGCGUGUGUUGAAGUUACCAUUGCUCGCUGAAAUCAAGAGCCAUCUGAUAUCUCUAAUCAACUCAUCUUAAGAAGGUAUUGAGAAGUUGUACGUCAAUGAAGCCAUGAUGCGGGCAGUCCUGUUGAUAUUCCUUGAAGCGAACCUAAGCUGCUUUGAAAGCUUCUGUCCGACCUUGAGUGAAGGUAGACAGCUUGUUUCACAGCUCCUCAGACUUCGCAUCAUCAUAGGAGCUGUUAAGGAAGGCUAUCUUGAUGCUCCUCCAAGUUUUACGUGAACCAGCCUUCAAUUGCUUCAACCAAGAAGUAUCUUCCCCAACAAGUGACUAGGGGAAAAGCUUGCACAGUAAGUCGUCCUCAGAGAUUUUCCAUUAGCCUUAAUACUCAGAACAAGGUCUUCAAAACGCUCGAUGUGGUCCAUUAGCUGUUCGUGAGAUAAGCCUUGGAAAGGGUGCUGGCCUACUAGUGCGAAGUAGCCAGGCUUCAGCUAAUAGUCUUUCAUCUUAAAGGGUGGGGGUACGAUCCCUAACUGGUUGGCAUAGAACAGGUCUGGCCUGUUAAAAUCCCUAAGAGUACGACAUGGUUCAGCAGCUGGUGGAUUAGGUGCGGUAGGAUCUGUGAUUGGUGUUGAUCGACACCCACGUGGUGUUGAUCGACACCUAGGUGGUGUCGCUCGACACCGAACUCUUCUUCGAUCUGAUCCCGUGGUUGUCGAUCGACACCCAGUUGGUUUCGCUCGACACCGAGCCCUACAAUGUUUCUAGCAGCCACCUACGCGAUGAGGCGCGCUUGUUCUUCAUUGACGUCUUCAGGGUGGAUGAGUCCAUGAUCAUCCAAUCUCUGACCAGCCAAAUUGUAGGAUUGCCCAUCUUCAUCCCUCAAAACUCCUUGCUCAUCAGCUAUAAUGACUCUGUCAGGCAUUGCUAUUUUCUGAGUUUUGCGGUUAGUGCGUUCUAGUAUUCCUAAAUCAAGCACAAAUAAGUUGAUGUGGUCCAUCUAUUUAGUGCUUCUUGCGAGCCUAGGCAUACACCUGAAACACAGAAAAGAAGAAAAACAAGGAACGCAUAUGUAUCAAAAGAAAAAUAAAAAUCUAGACGAAAUAUCUAAACUAAGCUUAAUGGUGAUUCUUAAGAACUUUGUCAAUGGCGCCAAAUUUAAUAUAGGUCAAAUUGCCUUAAAACCACUCUCUCAAAUAAGAGACCGUCGAUAGUAUUUAAGGGUCAAAUUCCACAAAAUUCUUUUGUUCACAUAGUGAGCUAAGUAUCAAGAUUAAGGUAGAAGAGUAUAAGAAAAAUAAAAAGGAAGCAAAGUAAGCAAAUAGCAGGUUGGUUGGUUGUAAAUCAAGAUAAUAAAAUGCUAGGUUUAGGGUAUUCUCAGAAAAUUCUCAGAAAACAAAUGAUUAGUAGAUCUAGGGAUAGCUAGGUUGUUAUCAAACCGUCCUUAAACUCAAACUCUAAUUACACAAUAGCUAGUGAUAUUCCGUGAUACUCAUUAUGCCUAGAGCUAAGAUUCCUCUUGAUGUACCGUGAAAUCCUAUACCUAAACAUGCAUGCUAAACGAGUUCGAUAAGUUCACCUUAGUAGAUAGGCCGAUUUAUUACACCCCUAUAAAACAGGCUCAUCAAAUAGUAGUUCUAGUAACAUAUACCUAUGGUGGGGAUAUCUAUUAUCUGUAAUCAAGUUCUAGUUAAUUACUCUAGAACUAGCAUUAAGAACAACUAAAGAGGAAGAAUCUUACAAAUAACCUAACAAGGGGGCAAUCUACUAAACCAUAUGAAUUCCUAGUGAGAAACAUUUACCCUAACAAGCAGACUACUCAGACAUGAUGGAUGAAACAAACAACAUGAAUGAAUAAUAAAGCAUUAACAAAUUAAUAAAGAAAAGAGUUAGAAAAGAUCUUUUCACUGUUAUUAAUAUAGUAAAAUCUUUACCAAUAACGUUGUUGUGGGCUUAGAGAGAGAAAACGCUCCCAGGCACACUUUUCGAGAAUUCAAAUUUGGCCUCUGAAAAUCUUCAGAUCUGCUUCGCCUGAAUUUCUCAAGCGACCUCCGACGUUUGUUUAUUCCCUCUUCUAAGCAUCGAGUUACCAUUUUCUUCUUUGCUUCAGCGACGUUUCCACCUCUAAAGAAUGGCCAGACGUUUCUCCUACGCAGAAAAGGGGAAAGCCGCGACGAUCCCAAAUCGACCUCCAUCACCGCCGAGAAUCAGAGUACUGGCUUUCGACAAUUCAAAACUUCUCCGCAAGCAUUCUCUUACCAUCAUCGGACGAUCAACUAUUCAGAAAUGCUGGUCUCUCGAUCCCUUCCUUGCCGACCAUUGUAGACUCUCUUCAAGACCUAUCGGAGCCGACCUCGGCAAUGGCCUCUUUCAGUUUCAGUUUCAGUUUUGCUUGAGUGGUUAAGCUCUUAUAAUCAGUCACUAGUCUCCCCUCAUGGACAUGGAGGGGGUGGACUAGCUCUCUACUGGAAAAAGGAUUGGAAUGUGAUCAUACUCUCCUCUUGUAACAACUAUUUGGAUGUAAGCAUCACAAUAAAGAAUAAAUCUUUUUUUGCUACUUUUGUCUAUGGGGAACCUGAUCAAAGUAAAAGAUGCAUUGUUUGGGAGUCUCUCAAAGUUAUUGCAGAAUAAAGAGCGGCACCUUGGUUUCUCUCUGGUGACUUCAACGAUAUCCUUAGCAAUAUGAUAAGUGUGUAUUUUGCAUGUUUUGAGCAUCCAUUUGUAAUCACUUUAGCAUCAUAUCAUCACUGUUUUAUACCAUUUCUCAUCAUUUGUCAUCACUUUACAUGUUUAGGAUAGAUUUGCAUGUAUGUUGCAUAUUUGCGUUGAUUUCAGGUGAUUUGGAGCUGUUGAUGAGCUAUCUGGAAGAAGCGGGCCUGAUCAUGUCAAACCACUCGACCCCGAGGUAGAGUAGGAGCUUCAAGAUCUCAACAGAUCACUCGACCACCAGGUCGAGUAGAGGACAUCACUACUUCACCACAUCACUCGACCCCGAGGUCGAGUGUCUUGAUCCCAUCGCCGGACCAUCACUCGAUCACUUCACUCGACCCCUAGGCCGAGUGUCUUCACCUUCAUUGCCAGACCACUACUCGACCUCGUCACUCUACCUGGAAGUCCAGUAUCACCAUCACCACCACUCGACUGCAUACUCGAUGACAAGCUUCAGAGCCUUCUUCAUUCCGCACUCAACCAGACGCUCGAGCACAAGGAAGAAAAGAAGACUCCAGCUAUUCACUCGACCUCCCACUCGACCACAUGGGUCGAGUACAGUUCUUAAUCUGUCCCAAUACUGCGUCGUUUUAAGUAUUAGGGUUUCGGAAUAUUUGGCUAUAAGUAGCAUGUACUUCACAUUUUCGCAGACAAGUUUUUAUCUAGUUUUAUUCCGCAGACCUUGUGUUCUAGACCUUUUGUAAUCCGGAUUUCUCUUUAUCUAUUCAAUAUUCAGUAUUCAGCUUUUGUUCUUGUUCAUUCUGUUAUCAUCCUGCUGUUACACUGUUGUUAUCAUGUUUUCAACUUGUUCAACGUUUAUGCUUUCUGUUAUAAUGUCUGAGUAGUGAAUAGGUUUCUAAGGAUGGGUUAGAGUAGUGUAGGAUUCUCAGUAUGCUAGGUGAUUGAGUAUUGAUUGAUAGAUCCCUUCUGGAUUAGUUGUUCUUAAUGCCUAUUGCUUUCUGAUCAACUGGAAUUUGAGCCCAGACAUUUCCGCGCCCAAAAGGUGUUCGAUGAAAUGUCUGAACCACUAAUUCCAGAGAUUCGUGACCCUGUACCAAGGUAUUGGUUGCAGGGAGCGUUUUGGCUUUAACUUGUUGAUUCGUAAUGCCUGUUAGGUUAGCUCUCGUCAAUGGUGAUUGAGUCUAGGACUAGGUUAACUUGAGAGUCUCUGUUGCGGUGGCACUUAGAUUUGGUUAAUGAACUUGUUGUCUAGGGUUAAUUAUUGAGCAUGUCAAUCACCUGUAAACUGAGGAAACGAAACUACUCAAUUAUCCCAUCCUCGGGAAUUCUUUAUCUGAUUGAAUUCUUUGUUUACUCUACUGUUGUUUACUGCAUCUUGUCAUCUGUUGCUUAGUUUCUGCAAUUCUUUACUGUUGCCAGACUGUGCAGUCGAAUAUCCCUGUUAUACUUUCUGUCUGUUACUCGACCUCACCCAGUGCUCUGCAAAGAGCUGUGUUGGUCGAGUGUUUUAUUGUUUCUGCUUGAAUUUCUGUUUUCUGCAUGUUCACUUAGAACUGCUAGAACACACCAAAACCUGUUAUUGCUUGGCUUGACUUAGUGACUUCUGAUCACAUCUUGAUUGUUAGCAUCACACCCAUUUGGAUUAACAACCUUCAGUACUACAACGACAUGAUAGUGCUUUAGGAUUAAUAGAUUAAAAACCUAUUUUCACUAUACAGAGAAAUCUGGGGGACCUCCUCGAGCUGAAGGGUCUUUCAUUGAUUUCAGAUCUUUCAGGUCUGAGUGUGGUCUUUUUGAUCUCAAGCAUUCGGGGAACUUCCUGUCUUGGAGAGGAGUGAGACACUCUCAUAUUGUCCAAUGCAGACUUGAAAGGGCCAUGGCAAAUGGAGACUGGUUUGAGAUGUUCCGAAAAAGCAGAAGCGAUUAUCUUGAGUUUGAAGGAUCAGAUCAUCGCCCUAUUGUCUCCUACUUCUCCCAAGAAAAAAACGUAAAGGGCUUUUUAGAUAUGAUCGCAGACUAAAAGAAAAUGAAGAGGUCAAAGCUCUAAUUGAUGCGACUUGGAAUCAGAGGCAAUCCAAUAUUGUGCAAAAAAGACUUUCUUGAUGCAGAUCAGCAAUUGUUGAUUAGACCAGAGAAACACAGAGAAAUAGUCAAUUGAAGAUUGAAAAGCUGAAGAGUUCAUUAGAGAAGGCAAUGGUAAGUCCUUUGAAUGACUCAGCACUUCUAAAACAUAUUAACUCUGACCUUGCUGCAGCCUACCUCGCUGAGAAAAACUUCUGGAAACAAAGAAGUCGUCAACUGUAGCCUAGUCUUGGUGACCAAAAUUCGGGGUAUUUCCAUGCAGUAACAAAAGGACGACAGUGCAUCAAUAACAUGUUUGUCCUGGAAACUGAAGAUGGAACAAAAGUCUUUGAGGAUCUUCAAUUUUCUGUAGUUUUAGUCGAGUACUAUUAGAAACUUUUUACUUCAUCCAACCCGGAUCCUGUCCUUGUUCAGAAAAUUGUAGAAGAAGCCAUUCAACCUAAAAUCUCAGAGGAAGAUAAUCUGCAACUUCAAAAGAUCCCUGAUUUACUUGAAAUCAAGGAGGCUCUCUUUGACAUUCAUCCGGAGAAGGCUCCAGGCCCGGAUGGAUUUUCAGCCUGUUUCUUCCAAACAAAUUGGAAUACCGUGGGACUUGCUCUCUCAAAUGAAUUCAGAACCAGCACACUUCACCAUAAUGUUAAUGAGACCUUUGUCAGGCUCAUUCCCAAAAUACAAGCACCAAAGAAAGCAGCAGACUACAAACCAAUUGCACUUUGCAAUGUCUACUUCAAAAUAAUCUCCAAGAUUCUUACCCAGAGACUAAAGCCUUUGCUCCACAAGCUAGUGUCUGACAACCAAUCUGCUUUUCUAGCUAGGAGAGCUAUAGCAGAUAAUGUACUCAUAACGCAUGAAACGCUUCACUUCCUUAAGACCUCGGGUGCUAUUAAGAACUGUUCAAUGGCUGUGAAGACGGAUAUGUCUAAAGCAUAUGACAGAGUAGAAUGGUCUUUCAUCAAGGCGGUUCUUCAAAGGAUGGGUUUUGCAAGCUGCUGGAUUGAUUGGAUCUUGGAGUGCACAUCUACUGUGACUUACUCCUUUCUCAUCAAUGGCCAGCCUUUGGAAAAAGUAGUUCCAUCAAGAGGUAUAAGACAGGGAGACCCUCUCUCCCCUUAUAUCUUUAUUCUGUGUGGUGAGGUGUAAUCAGGUUUGUGUCGUCAAGCUCAGGUUUCAAAACACAUGUCACAACACAGCCCUAGAGUCAAUCAUCUUCUAUUUGCAGACGAUACAAUGUUCUUUUGCAAAACAAAGAAGAAGGAUUGCACUGCUUUGUUGACCAUUCUACAAAGAUAUGGAGAUGUUUCGGGGCAGCUCAUCAACACCCAAAAAGCUUCUGUCUUCUUUUCCAGAAGAACCCCAUAUGAAACCCAGCUUCAGGUCAAACAAUGGCUGAGUAUUAUCAACGAUGGAGGUCUGGGUAAGUAUUUGGGACUCCCUGAACACUUUGGGAGAAAGAAGAAAGAUCUGUUCUCCUCCAUUGUUGAUCGCAUUCGACAAAAGUUAAUCAGUUGGUCUAGCAGAUUCCUCUCUGGAGCAGGCAAGAUGGUUAUGCUAAAAAGCGUUUUGGCUUCAAUCCCUAACUAUACCAUGUCCUGCUUCCAACUUCAACUGUCUCUCUCUGCAAGAGAAUUCAAUCCACCCUCACUCGCUUCUGGUGGGAUUCCAACAAUCAGAAAAAGAUGUGUUGGAUCUCCUGGGACAAGAUGACUGCUUUAAAAAAGGAUGGAGGGCUAGGCUUUCAGGACAUUCAGGCUUUUAAUGAAGCCAUGCUAGCUAAGAUAAGCUGGAGAAUACUGCAAAAUCCCCAAAGUCUACUCUCAAAAAUUCUGUUAGGGAAGUACUGCCAUGAGGAAAGUAUUUUACAGGUGACUUGUGUAAAAUCUUGUUCUCAUGGUUGGCGAAGCAUCCUCAUCGGAAGAGACAUUCUUGUGAAACAACUGGGCUGGAUUCCAUUGAAUGAGCAGACUCAGCCUAUGGGACCGGCCCCUCUGACCUCAAGAAACUGGCGAGUAAGGGACCUCUUUAUCUCUAAUUCUUUGGUAUGGGAUGAAGGAAAAAUCAAGCGAACUUUCCCAGUGCUAGCAGAUCAUAUUCUCAGUAUCAAACCAAGCCAACUGCAGGGAAAAGAUAGACAAGUCUGGUUACUUAAUCCGGAUGGAUACUACUCAACAAAAUCCAGUUAUCAUGUGGCACGACAAGCUCUAAAGGAUCUGUCACUUCAUCCUCAGGGACCCGUCAACUGGUUUAGUGUGAUUUGUCCGUGAAAACCUCUCCAAAAGUUAAAUUUUUCUUAUGGAAAGCUUUUAAUGAAGCCUGCCAACAGGAGAACAGCUUAUGUCUAGGAAAAUCUUUGUUGAAUCUUCCUGCAGUAAAUGCAGAGAGCUUGAAUCUAUUGACCAUAUCCUUUUUGCUUGUCCCUUCGCCCAGAGAGUAUGGAAAUUGGCACCUAUCGAUAGUGCUCAAUUGCCUCCACUCUCUAAUGUUAAGGAAAGCUUGGAUUGGUGGAAAAAGAAGAUUUGUCUUCCUCCCACAGGAUUAGGCAGCGGACCCCAUUACCCUUGGACUUGCUGGAAUCUGUGGACAGCUAGAAACAAGCUAACCUUUGAAAAGCUUAUGUUUUCUGAGCAGGAAAUCAUGAUUAAGGCCAUCUUGGAUGCAAAAGAAUGGUAGUCUGCUCAACAGAAGAAACUUAUGCCUCCACCUCAGCUCUUCCCGACCAGACAGCAUAAGACAAGAGAAGAGAUCCGCUCCACUCUGAUUAUCAACUCUGAUGCAGCGUACUGUUCCCAAGCUCAAACUGCAGGAUUAGGAUGGACUUUGUUAUCCAGUGGCGCAUGUCGUCCCUCUAAACACUCUACCUGUUGUAAGCAUGUGUCUUCUCUGCUUGUUGCGGAGGCUCUGGCUGCUCGUUCAGCCCUGAUGGCAGCGUCUCACCUUAUUGAUUGUUCGGUGGUGCUAAAAUCUUAUUGCCAAGUCCUUGUCAAGGCCAUUGUAUCCAAAUCUCUGUGUGUAGAGAUUCAUAGUAUCCUUUCUGACAUUCUACUUCUUAGUAGUUCUUUCAAAUCUUUUUCUUGUAAAUUUAUUCUCAGGACAGCAAAUUGUUUAGCUGAUUCUCUGGCCAAAUCUGCUCUAUCUUUGUAUCCUUUAAACCUAGUCUAAAUGAUAUUUGAGAUGGAUUGACAAAAAAAAAACAAUCUUACACUAAACAAACAAUAUUAACAAAACAAAUAAAACUUAAAAUUUUAGUUUUUUAGUUAUAAAAUAUCAUUCUGCAGUGUACUAUAUAUUUAAAUAUAACAAAACAAUAACAUAAAUCUAUAGAUCAUCCUAAAAAAGAUAAUUUAAUUAUUAGUAAAAAUUAUAGGCUCGCGGUGUACUAUAUAUUUAAAUAUAACAAAACAAUAACAUAUAUCUAUAGUACCGCGGUUUAAUAUCUAGUAUGAAACAUCUAGUGAAAUAUCACUCUUGUGUUUUGCAUUUUUCAUUAAAUUUGCAUUAAUUUUGUUGGAAAUUAUUUAUAGUAUUUUAAUUGUAUUGAAAAUUUGGAAUAUUAUAUAUUAGACAUGAUAAUUGCCUUUUUAUUUGUAACUAAUUAUAGAAAAUAUUGAUUAUGACGUAAAAUCUUAAAUUUUUAAAUAGUUGUUUUUAAAAAUUACAAAUAAGGAAAAUCUCUCUAUAAAUUAAUAAUUCUGAAUUCAUAGAGGUAUAAAUUACUGCGUCCAUAAAUAAAAGAAAUUUCCCUAUAAAUUGACUCAGUUUCUUUAGAAUUAAUUGGAUUCAUCGUCUCUUUAAUAUAUUCAAUUAUAUCGCUCAUUUAUAUACUUAAUAUUCAAUAUAUCCAAAACUGGAUGUAGGUCUCUGAUGUGGUCAAUUAAAUUGCUCAUCCAACUAUAAAUAGAGAAAAAAGAGUUGGGUUUUUCUAUUCUGCGAAAGAGGAGAUGAUUUGAAAUCCAAAAAUUCAAAAGAAAAAAAACUGUUAAUCAUUUGUUUUGAUUCAACCCACAAUGGAUUCGAUUAGUUGAAACUCCAAUUAGGUCGUAAAUCCUAUUAUUAUAAAUCACAAGUCACUUUCCAAAUAACUGCAGCUCUCUCCAUUUGACACAUGUCGUAAGUCUCAAAUUCUAUUCUUUUACUUUUCUUUUUCUUUUUAUCCACAUUUACGUCAAAAAAACAUAAUAAUAAUAAUAAACAAAUUAUUAUUCUUCCCCAUCUCCCCCACGAUCUCUAAAAUAUCCAAGCAAACAAAAUACAAAAUUGUUAAAUCUCAAAACUACAAAUUAUAAUUGGAACAGCCAUUCACAUCUUUCAAGCAUCUUCAACUUCUCCUUUAAGUUUUUAACAAAAAUUCUCAAUCACAAAAAUCAUCCGCGUAAAAGCGUUCCGUGUCGACAAAGACUUCACCGUCAUCGUCACCCAAUAAUUUUGCAGAAAUAUAUUGUUACACUGCUUUGACCGCGCAAAGCGCGGGUUAUUAAACUAGUCUUGGGGAUAAUAUAGUUGAUUAUUUUUAAAAGUUUUUAGAAAUAAUAUAGUUGAUUAUUUUUAAUAUACAUCGCUAUUUCUACAUAGGAUCUUAGAAAUUAUACUAGGGUUUUGUAGUUUGUAUUCAGCUAACUAGAAACUUCAUAUAGCUCUCUAAUACAUUCAAUUAUAUGGCUCAUCUAUAUACUUAAUAUUCAAUAUAUUCAAAACUUGAAAUAGGUCUCUGAUGUAAUCUAUUAUAUUUCUCAUCCAACUAUAUCUAUCAUAUAUAUAGCUUUCAAAGCCUACUAUAUAUAUCAUAUAUAAAACCUCGCAAUAUAUUAUUGAUUAACUCCGUCAUCAUCAAAAUUAUUUAAAGUGAAAAACCCAUUAGAUUCUUCAGAAUUUAAGUUCAUUACCUGAAUUCAGCAUUAUAAAGAACAAGAGUGGGAGAAGAGGUAAAAAACUUAAAAGCAGCAUUGUAAAGGCAAAGUAGCUAACCACAAUUCAACCAAUAGUAAAAUGUACUACAGAGUAGAGAUGGUUUUAAAACAUAAAAAAUCAAUAUAUUUUACAUUGAAAAUUGAAAACGCCGUCUAAUUUGAAAGAAAAAAAAAAAUUUAAAACGUCAACUAUUUAAAAACGGAGGGAGAUUAAAAAACGGAGGGAGUAGACUAUUGCUUAUAUUAGUGUUCAUAGAGAAUCAAUAAAAUCUCUUUGAUAGAUUCAGGCUGUCAAAUACAGUAAAGAAGCCUUUUAUUUCUUGGAUUCGUAGAAAAUCAAUAAAAUCUCUUUGACAGAUUUAGGCUGUCAAAUACAGUUAGAAAACUUUUAUUUCUUUUAUGAUAUAAAGUUUUGUAUGAAUAUUCUCUCAUCUUCUUCUAACUAUAUUUAUGUGUCUAUUAUUUAUGUUGUUAUAAGGAUUAAAAAUCAAGAAUUUGAUUCUAAAUUUACUUUAGAAAGCUUUAUAUAUAUAUAUAUAUAUAUAUUAAUCAUUUUUGUAUAUUUUUAAAGCCAAACUAAAAUAUUUUUAUUUAUUCUUUAAUUUUCAUAUUUUCAUAUUUUGAUGGUUAUAACAAAAGUUUCAGGUUUAUUGGUAAUGGAGAGUUAAAUAUAUCAAUUCAAAUCAUGGCACAACAAGAUAAUGAAGUUGAAAAGAUCCAUUUCCAUUAUCUACUUUAGAUGUUUGGUUAUUUUCUAAUAUAUUCAUGUAUUUGUUUUUAAAUAUGCAAUAUUUAAUAAAAUAAAUAAUUGUCAUAUUUUUUAAAUAUAUAUUUCUUACCUUUUUCUUAUCUCGGAUAAGUUUUGUAAUUUAUUUUUAAUAUACGUAUCAUUAUAUUUACUUUUUGGGAUUCAAUAGAUAAUUAUAUAAAAAUCGUUAUACUGUUUACUUUAUUUAAGAUUUGAGGUUAAAUUAUUUUUCAACUUAAAAAGAAUUCUGUUAAAAAAAUUUGGUCCUAUAAGAUUUGUUUUUUGUCAAACGGUCCUUAAGAUUAAAAAAACGAAAUCAUAUGGUUCAAGAAAAUUAAAUUUAGGUAAAAUAGAAAAUUAAAUUUAGGUAAAAUAGAAAAUUAGAAUAAAAUCGUUAGAAUGAAACCUAACACUCAUACUUAAAUAGAGUGACAUAUAGAAGAAAAUAACUCUGAUUAAAACAAAACUCAUUUUAUUAAUUCCUACAAAGAUAAAACCAUUAGUAUAAAAUAUAGUACAGGAAUUUAAAUUGAUGAGUGAAAAAAAAAAAAUAGAAGUUAUCCUUGGAUCUUUGAUGAUUUUAAUUAGAUUGAAGUUCAUAUGAUUUUUGUAAGAAAAAUAUAUUUAGUUAUAUCAACAAACAAACAAAUUAUCUGUGGGUUUAUAUAAGCAAUUUAUUUUGUAAAAGUAAUAGAUAAUAUAUGUUUAUUGUUGUUUGCUUAAUCCGAUUUGCGAAGAUCAAUCUCUACAACGGUAAUUAUAUUGUUAUGUGUUACUACAUAUCUAUACUAUUUUUAAAAACAUGUCCUUUUACUUAUAAAACAGAUAGCUGGAGUGUUUCCAAUUCUUUUGAUGUUUUACAAGUCUUCGUGGAUCCCACGUUGGCUGAGUUGGGUUUUUUUAAGCAAAGGUAAUUGUAUUUAUUUGCCACUAAAUAUAUUUGCUUCUACAUAAUAUUAAACAAAGUAUAUUUUUUUAAUAUAUAGCAUACCAACCGAUGGGUUAACUUUGGGAAGUUCGGAAUCUUUUCACAAGAGGCUCUAUGCACCAAGAACUGGGGAUGACGAUGGUGAUUAUCCAAGGCAAACAAUCAAGGAAGUCCUCACAUCUUCUGAUAUACUAUUCAUUAAUUUAUUUUACCUACUAACCUUUUUAUUACAUUUUUCAUAUGUUUAACUUAGUUUGUGAAUUCCUCUUUAUAUUCAUUUGAAGGUGGGUAACUGCAAAACAGUUUGCACUGUUUCGGCAAUUGAUACAGAUUAGCCGUGGUACUAUUUUUGUUGUCGUGCUCACAACAAGAAAGUUGUCAAAGAAAAAGUUAUCAAACUUGAAGAUAUCAAGCUACCUCAAAAGCCAAGAUUUUGGUGUGAAAUAUGCAUUGGUUUUGCAAAAUUUGUUGUUGCCAAGUUAGUCUUUAUGAAAUCUUUAUAUUGAAUGUAUUUUGAAUUAUAAUUUGGUGUUUGGAAGCUAAUAAUCCUAUUUAAAUUUUAGGUUUUGGUUACAUCUCCAUAUUAUGGACCAAACCGGUGAAGCUAGAUACAUGUUAUUCGAUAGUCAUGCAAAAGAACUUCUUGACACUACUGCCCCUGAAUUGCUUGAUGGGUCAUUUGAUGAGGUAUAAUGCCUUUUUAAAAAUAAACUCUUUCAUUAAAAUGACAACGUUCAUGUUAUAAUAAUCUAUAUUUUUCUAUAGAUCGAAGACCCAACUAUUUUGCAUGAUGUGAUCAAUGGUUUGAAAGGGAAGACUUUUCAGUUUCUAUUGUGCAUCCAAAAGGAAAACAUAUUAGGUGGAUAUGAUUCAUUUACUGUUGCCCGAGUCUACACCGGUAACAUUGCUGAUGAAAUCGUUCAAGAAGACUGAUGCAUACGUUGAUCCAUCAUCCUUAAUUUCGAUCGAACAGGUUUGUCAAAUAACAUUAAACAAUUCCAAUUAUUUAUAUUUAUAUUUUAGGGUUGUCUUUUUAAAAAUGUUUAUGUAUUUUCAUAUAGGGUUCCCUUAUGCUUACUAAUGGUGUUGACCUUUCUCAUGUGGAUUUGUCGUCAACCUCUACUCCAUCAUCAAAACGAAAAGAUUCAGAUGAUGUUGAUGGAAAUGAUCAGGCUUCCACAAGUAGGAAGAAGUGUUCUAAGAUUACCAUGUCUUAGGAAGGCUCCGGCGAAUGAUGCUCAUUGACUAAUCCAGCUUGGAUCGUUUUCUUCUUUCUUAUUUAUUUGCUUAAAGUUAUCGAAGUUGUUUUAUUUUUUUAAGUUCUAAACUAUCUUUAUUUUAUUUGGUUUUUUGGGAAUUAAUAAAAUUAUUUCAAUUAUAUGUCGUUUCGUUUUGUUAAAUCUCAGUUUUUGGGAAUACACAGAACUGAGAUUUGAUUACUCCUUCUGUUCCACCAAAUUUUAUGUUGUAGAAUUUUGACACAAAUUAAGAAAAAUAACUUUUCAUGAAUUAUUAUUAUUUUGUUAGUUUAACUAUAGUAUUAGUUAUAUUUCUCUCUUCUUUUAUUGGUUAACAAUAAAAAUAUUAAUGAUGUUGAUUUAGAACAUCAAUCUUGAUGAAAGAAGAAAAAAAACAAAAACAUCAAAUUUUCAGAAAACAAAAUUGUUUAUUAUUAAGAAACACAUUAUUUUAUAUUAUAAUGUUAAUCAUACUAAGAACUAUAAACAAUUUUGCUAAUUUUGUGUUAAAUAUUCUACAAAAUCAGAAUUAGCAAAGAUUUUGUACACUAAAUAAUCAGUCUUAUUAAAUAUGAUUAAUCAUGAUAACUCAAACAAAACAAACCUAUUCCUAUUUUUUCAUAAACUCUCAUUUUAAUAAUUACAAUUUUUAGUAACACGUUAAGAAAUAAAUGUCAUCAUUAUUGUUCUAACCUAUAAGAAAUCCUACUAGUUCUUGACGAUUCGUUUCCUUUUUACACUUUAACUUUCCAUCAUUGUAUCUUUUCCCAAUUAUAUAAAAUCAAAAAUUUCAAGCCUAACACAAUUAGGUUUAACUCUUUAUCUGUCGAAAAAAAAAAAAACUUCCUUGGAUACACAUGAUGUCUGUUCACAAACUCACUGAUUUGAGAGAUAACUCGACUAACUGGAAGAUUAACGUCAAGAUCCUGUCAAUUUGGAAUCAUCCUCCAAACAAUCAUGUUGAAAUUACGACCAUGAUUCUUCAUGAUGACAAGGUUUGUCUUUUCCCUUUGUUUUUUCUUUUAAUCCCAAUUUACUUUGUUAUCAUUGAAACAGAUCAUCACAAACUAUUUAAUCUUUGAGUUGCUUGGAAUUUUUUUCAGAAUAACCGUGUUGGUGCAACAAUUCCUCAUAGAAACUAUCACAAUCUCUUCCGUCCAUUUCUCAAGCCUGACACAUGGAUUCACAUCUCUCACUUUCGGGUCGUUUUUCCUCAAGCAAGGGUUAGGUAUUCUUCCUUUCGUUUCCACAUCAAGUUCAUUUGGGAAACAAGUGUUUACCCUCUUCCGGAACGGGUGAAAAUGACUUCUUUGAUUUCAUUUUUCUCAUUGACCUUAAGUAUCCAUGUCUUGAGGAUUGGGAUUAUGUCACGGGUAAGUUUUUAGUCAAUCUAUGUUCUUCUCAUUUUAAGAAUGAAUUUUUGAUAGUAGUUUAUGUUAUUAUUUUUGAACUAUGCUAUUAAUAUAUUAUUCUAUACUUAGGUGCAAUGGGUGUGGUGACAAAUAUCUCGGCUAUUAAGAAAUUUUCAUUUGUUUGUCGCCACGGUGAAACCGACUAUGAAUCAAGAUAUGUCUCAUUCAAACUUUUGGACAAUAUGUAAAUUGUAGUGUUUUUAAGUAUGUUUAGUAAUGUGUCUCUUGUCUGAAAAAUUAGCUUAAUAAUGUAUUGCUUAGUCUAAUGUUUUGUCAUAUUGGUUAGGGGAGAAAAAAUGAAAUGCUAUGCUGUUGGAAGAUGCUGUGAACUCUUUGUUAUAAAUUUCUCAAAAUGUAUCAGUUCAGCGACUUAUAAAUUUCUCAAAAUGAAUCAAGAUAUCAGCCCAUUGUUGCCAUUGUGAGGUUUUGGAGAAUUGCUGAUAUUGAGGGUUAGUUAUUUUUGUUUCUAUUGUAAUCCUAUUUACUUAUGAUUGACAUUUUUAUUAUAUCAUUUUAAAUGAAAUUUUUGGAAAAGGUGAGAAUGUUUGAAGAGUGAAUUUGGAUGUUCAAGAAUUUACCUCAAUCCAACCAAUUUCGCUGAGAUAGAUAUUCAAAGCUACAUGUAAGAAUUUUAUCAUUUUUUUAUUGUAUUGGUUAACCAUAAAAUCAAUUAAUCAAUACAAUUUUUGUUUUUUCUGUUUUACGGCCGCGGUUUCGAAGAUUAUGAUGACCUUCCAGAGAACCCAAGGAUGGAAGUGAUUGAAGAGAAUUAGGAGUUUGACCUCGCAGCUCCUAUUCUUAUUUAAAUUAUGUUUCAAACUUCUUUAAAUUUCCUUCAAACUUUGUCAUUUUAAGUUGUUGUUUUUUUUCAAAUUUGUUUAUGUUUUGAACCUAUUUAAGUAUUCUAUUCCCGUUUGAUUUUUAUCUAUCUUAUGUUUUGUUAAACUCCUAACAAAGUUUACAACUAUGACAUAAAAAAACUACAAACAAACUCCUAUAUAAAUUUGCAACGAUUACAUAAAAGUAUAGUUGUAGUAUUUUUUUAUUUCUGUUAAAAUACUAUCCAUUUAAUUUAUUUUUUUGACAUAUAAUUAUUGAUGAUUCUUUUUACAUUUUUAAGAAAAUUGGAAGGGUACCAAGAAUAAAACAUUAAAAACUUUGAGAUAAAUCAUUCUUGGAAACAUCAUGAUCAUUUAUUAUUAAGUUCAUUUCUUUUCAACUCAAUGUCAUUGUCUUAUACAAAAAAGUAAAAAUAAAUAUUUGGACUCUUUAUAUUUAAAACCCUGCAAAAGCAUUAUCUUUCGGUAUCUUUUCUCUCAUAUUAAAAUAAUAUUUAUUUUGGAAACUUAGGUACUCUUUUUAAAGUUUCUUUUUGGAUAUAGAUCAAAGUCACAUCAUUACCUUUGUAACUUAAAAAUAAUCGAUACACAUAUAACAGUUAAAAUUUAAUUUCUGAGGAAUAUAAUAUAUAUAUCUAUAUAUAUGAUCUCAGUUUAUUAUAAAUAUAUUGUGCUCUUAUACAUAUUUUGUGGAAUAAUAGAGUAGAUUUUAUUGAGUAGAUACAAAUAUUAACAUCUAUAUUGAAUUCAAUUUAUUUAUGAAACUUGCUUUUUCAAUUAAAUCUAUUGUUCACAUCUUUUCUUACCAUUUUUUCUAAGAUUGAUAACAAGAUUUGACAACUCAUCCAAGAGAUAUGACAACUUAUGUCACAUUUUGUUUCUUACAAAAUUCAUUAAAAUUCGCAAGUAACCAUAAAAAGCACUAUAAUUUACCAUCGAGGUUCCAAAUUCGAUUGACAAUAUUUGCAUGACAUUUAACUUUUUCUAUUUAAUUUAUUUAUUUUGUAAAAUUAUUAUACAAGUAAUAUUCUAAAUAGUCAAAGGACACAUAACCUGAAAAAAAGAAAACCUCCUCCUUUAUUUAUGUCCAUUACUUAUCUUCGACAUCUUUCUUCUAACCUAUUAGUUUCAAAAAAAACAAAAAUAUGUAGAGAGAUGAUAGAGGUGGUUAUUACAAAGGUAUCUCAUAUCUCUCUCAAGUUUGCCAAAAAAGAAAAGAGUUGAAGGUUUUUGUGAAGAUACUAUGUUGGUGGGUAACACUUCCUCAUGAGGGUGGGAAGUCAUACCAAAUGAUCUUGUGCGAUAAGAUGGUAAUUCUAAAUUAAAAAGUAUUCUUUGGAUUUAAUAUAUUAAUAAUUUAUAAGUCAAUUUUUUUUUUAGGGCACAAUGAUUGAUGCCAUUUGUCCUUAUUUCUACCCUGGAUAUGACGUCCCUAGAGUUUUCGAUAAAGGAGGUUGGUUUUUCUUGGAAAACAUACAUCUGAUCAAAUCAGCCGUCGGUAGAAAACGUCCCUUAACCGAUAAUAAGUUGAGAAUCAAGUUUCUUCAAACUACCAAACUGUCUCCUGUGGAUAGAUUGGUUCCAAGUAACUUUUUUCGAUUUGCUGCCUUCUCCAUGAUCGAAAAUAAGACAAUUAAUUCUUCAAUUGUCCAUGGUAACUUUUUUAUCUAGAUUUUUAAAAAAUAUUAAGUCUGUUUAUUUGGAAAUAUUUAUCUUUCAUGUUAUCGUUUUUUUUUGUAGAUGCUUAUGGUGUUGUCGUGAGAGUUGAAAAUAUAACAAGACCUGAUUUUGUUCCUCAAGUUUCAGAAAAUCCUAUACUUUCUCAAUUUCUCGAGUUUGAGAUUAAAAAUACUUGGUUAGUAUUUUCCACUAUAUAGUUCGUCAUCUAUUUGGUUCUAUAUUAAAUGCACAAACAUAGUAAAUAUUGUUAUCUUUAUAGUUGGCUUUAUUCAUAGACUUAGAUGUUUUGGUGAAAUAAUUUGAUAUUGUUAGUAGGGGAAAGUCUCUGAUAUGUGUUGCAAGAGGAUAUACUUGUGAGUUGUUUGUGCAAUUGUGGAUGGAACUUGGUCUAGAUCUUGGUUAUCAGUGGACCUUUGGUAUGAAUCCUACAAACUGUGUGCUACGAUUUUGGAAUGUUGAUGAUCAUGAAGGUAUAUUUAAGACUCAUCUUAUCUUAUCAAUAAUUUAUAUAGCUACUUCAUAUAAUAAAAACAUUAAUAUUUUAGGUCGUCAAUGUCUAAUCUCACAUAAUGGUGCUUCAAAAAUUACAUUCAAUCAAAGUUACCCAGAGAUUAACAUGGAUCGCAUCACGUAAGAACGUUUAUAUUUUCAUUAUCCCUUAACUGUUUAUUGUAAUUUUAGAAAUUUUAGUCUUGGUUAUUUUUAUUUUUUUUGUUUUCCUACUGUUUCAGAACUCAAUUCCUUGAACGGAUGCAGCCACCUGAGCUAGGUGAAGUUGUUGAUGAGAACUAAAGAUUCAACACCAGACCCCUAUCUAUCGUUUUGUUUAAAAACUUUUCUAUUAAGACUUUGUUUAUGUUUUUAUUGACUUUCUUAUGCAUUAUUUCUGUUAAACAUUAACUUUUAUUAUGCUUCCUUAAUUUAAUGCUUACUAAAUAACUAUAGUUCCGUAAACUUAGAUCAAAUUAUAACUGUUUUUAGAUUGGUCAAUUAUUCGGUUAUUUUGAUUUAAAUUAUGUUGAUAUUUUGUUGAUUUUAACACAAUGUAUUUGGAUUGCAAAUUUUGAUUACAAUGUAUACUAAAAUAUGAGUUAGAUAUCUAUACUAUUAAACAAAGAAAAACAAAAACCAAACCUUAGAGUUUAUUAGAAGAUUUGUCCAAAGAAUUAUGUCCUUAAAAGUUAAAACGUUAGAGAAUCUUCUAAGUUGAAAACAUAAAUUAUUUCAACUCUUAUCUCUUAAUCAAGCAUCCUUUAGUUUGUGUUCCAAUUUGCACAAUAAUAGAGUAGAUAAACUAAAUUAGAAUAUAUAUUCUUUAUAUUGUGCCAUAAUAGAAUUAAAUUAUAGAUUCUUUUGUUAACAAUAUAUUUUCAUAUAUAUUGUUUCCUAAUUUGUAAUCACUUUCAUUAUUAAAAAUAUUAAAAAUAUUUAUUACUUAUUUCUCUCCAUAAUUAUUAACUUUUCUUAAAAUUUUGUUAUUAAGUGUCUCAAACAUUAUAGUAUCCUGUGAUUGUUACUAAUUUAUCCACGCAGUUAAGACAAUUGGUAUUUAUAUAACAACUCCAAUUAAUAUAACGAUAAAAUAUUUAUAUUAUUUCCCUAAAAUGUAAGACCCGUCAAAUUUUUAAUUUUAUUAAUAAUUGAGUUAUUCAAAAUAUAUUACAGAAUCUUCAAAAAUACAAAGUGACUUGAAACGUCAUGACUAUUAUUACUUUUUUGAAAGUUGCGUCUAACAUGCUUCUACGGUGUUUUCGUCUCUCUUAUAUAUAUAUCGGUAUCAUUAGCAUCUCAUAAAACGAAUACAAAAAAUAACUAAGAAAUUUUAGUAAAAAGAUGGAAUCGUUUCAUCCUCUUACACUGUUGAAACCGCCUAUUACAGGAUGGUGUAUUCGUGUGAGAGUUGUGAGGACAUUCUUAGUUCCGCUGGUUCCAUCUUCAAAGGUUAUGGGUUUGAUUCUCGUCGACCAACAUAUAAGUUUUGACUAUUUUGUAAUGAAAAUUUUAGGUUUGCAUGUUUUAGAGUUUUGAUUAGUAUAUUUGAUCCGUAGGGUAUGACUAUUGAAGCUACUAUUGGAUACAAGAUGUCGGAUCACUAUAAAGAUUUUAUUAAUGAAGGAGAAUGGGUAACCAUAACAAGUUUUGGAAUUGUUGAGAACUCGGGUCCUGUCAGGCCAACAACUCAUACCUUCAAAAUUGGAUUUGCUGUUGACACUGUUGUCAGAUUAACAAGUCCGGUACCCGCUAUUCCUCACUAUCGUCUAGCAUCCUUCUCUUCGAUUAUCGAUGAUGAAAUCGAUAAAUGUGUUUUAGUUGGUGAGAUUCUUAUGAAUUUGUUGUGUGCAUUAUUUUAUAUCAUUCAUCUUAGUAUUUCAUUAGUUUUGUCAUUUUCAAUAUCAAUUGUAUAUAUUUGACUCUGAUUUAUUUUAAUUAAUUUCUGUAAUUUUUUGGAGACUUGGUGGGAGCGAUCUAUGAUGUUGGAGAAAUGAUAAACACAAGACCUAAGCAAAACCACGUCGAUGAUUGACGCUAACUUUCAAAAUAAGUGACAAUGAGUAAGUUUUCUACUUUGAUAGUUUAAUUUGAAUUACCUAAAUUAAACUGUUCUAAUACUAUUUUUGAUUAUCUGUUUAGAAAUCGUGUUUUGAAAUGUCUAGCUACUAAGAAUGAAGCUCUUGACUUUGAUCAUAAUUAUCGUCGAUAUGGUGGUGGAGUUAUUGUCGCUGUUCUUGGAUGGUGGAAGAUUGACCAUUAUUUUGAUGGUCCAAAGAACGUACGUGUUUGCGCCGCAUGCCCGAAAUCAACCGUCUUUCCGGAUCCUGAUUUCCCCGAGUCUAACGAGAUCCAUGAGAUGUAAGUUUUGAUAUAUUCUUUUAUUAUUACAUUUCGUUAUUAGUAAUUGUAUAAACGGAAUAUAAUAUUACUAUUGAUAAUUGCAUGCCACAUUUGUUUGUUUUGUAGGCUCCGUGAUGAAGGUGCAAGGAAUGGCGGUUGAACAUCGACUUAAAAUUAUGUUUUUGUGUUUAUCUUUAUGAACUCGGUCUUAUCUUAUUUUUAUUUCUGUAUGAACAAGUUUCUAUUUUUUUUUUGGUACCGGCCUAAUGGUCGUUUUGUUAUUUAUUGUGUAUGAUUUUGGUUAAAAAAACUACAUAUUUCGAAUUUAGAAUACCUUCUAAAAUUUGAUAUCUUACAAUAUCGCAUCGCUAUUAUUGACUAAAUUUAAUAUUAUUCAUCCUAAAAUAAAUAAUAAUGUUACUAAAUAUUACGUAUUAUUACUUUAUAUCUCUAAUUCAAAUAUUUAUUUAUUCGUCGUUCUCUAUCAGAAUUGCAAAAUUAGUAAAAUCUAUUUAUUACACAAAUGGCUUAUGUCUCAUAUAACAUUAAUAUUUUAUCAACAAAUAUUAGUUUCACAUUCUGUAAAUAUAAACAUAUAUAAAAUUAGAAAAUUUCUGAUUAUGAGAUAUUGUUAAACUUCUAUAUUAAUUACAUACACGAAAACGUACAAAGCUACUAUGUGUAAACUUAUAUAUACAAAAUAUACAAUUACAUUCCCAAACGUACAUACCAACUUAGACAUAUUUUUUCCAUGCUACAACCCGAGGAAACUACAUAUACUUAACAAAAUAUGGUUUGACAAGACUAAAUAUAUUUAUUUGAUUCCAAUAAUACAUGAUAUACAACUAUAUGUUUAAAUAUAAUGAAAAUGAAGUAGAGUUUCUCUCGAAUACACAGAACUGAGAUUUGAUUAUUGAUUAAACAAAAGAUACCGUGCGUAGUUGUUAAAGUUGAAUGUAGUUGUCAAACGUAGAAAUGUUGUCUUCUAUAAAUAGUAAUAUACAAAUAUCACUAACCAUAAUAUUCCAAAUUUCAUAAAUUUAAAGUAUACAAAACUGAAUACAAUGAUAGAUAUAUAUAAUACUUUUUAAUUUAUUAAACAUUCUAGGUGAAACAUCCUAUUAUAACACUAUUUUAUAAUCCGACUAAUAGUGUUUUAAUAUUACCUUUUUGUCAAUUUUAUAAAGAGGCUGUGAAGAAGAGAUGACAUGUAACCAAGAAACCUUACUCACAAUCAAACGUAGAGAAACCCGAGAUUUAUAAUGCAACAAGAGAAGAUAUACUAAGGUUGAUUUUCUUUGUCCAAAACAAUCAAUCUAUAUAAACCUGAAUUUUGAUUUACUCAAAAUAAAUUUGAUAUUUUUUAAGUGAGAUUAAGAAGAAAUUUAAUAUUUUUGAUAUUUGCAUGAAAGCCAUAGAUGAUAGAUAUAGCUAUUUAUAUUUAAAUAUCAGUUUGGGUUUAUAAAAAUAUUUAAAUUUUACGAUUAAAAGAGGUAAAAUACCGGUUUGGGUUUACAAAAGAUAAUUAGGGAUUAGAUAUUAUAAUUAAAGGAGAUUAGAUAUCAGUUUGGAUUUAUAAAAUACUGGUUAGAGAUUAAAUUUAAUAUUUAAAUGAGUUUAAUUUUUUAAUUAUAUGGCAGAUUCUGAUUGAUUAAAAUAAAAAGAAAUCCUAGGGGUGAAUCCAAGUAUUUUAAACUUUCAUCCAAAAAAAAAAACAAAUUAACUGCUCAUAAUUAUUUUCAAAUUCUAAACUUUUUUAUUUCCUUUUUAAAUAAAAUAACUGCUCAUAUAUAAAUUUUAUUUAUUAUUUCAGAAAAAAUACUUUUUUACAAAAAGACAUCAGUUUAUUCAUAUUUAUCAGCAUAUGAAUUAUGUACAAUUUGUUUAACCAAAACUUUGAUAAAUAAUAUAAAAAGAAAGCUGAAAUCCCAACAUCAGCACUACUUCAAACUGGGAUUUCAGCUUUCCAUAAGCGUUGCUGAAGGAUUUUCCUUUCUUCUUAAGAAAUAACUCUUCAGCCAUAUUUGUACUUAUUUUUAAAUAAGUAGUGAUUGUAUCUAUAACAUCACUACUCUCUAAUCCAUAUACAUGUACCAGUUGAGCAUUUAAUAAAUAACAAAUUGAGCAUUUGAUAAAUAACAAUCGGGUAAUGAAGUAAAGUUAUAAGCAUGUCUGUCGUUGAUUGAGAGUUCUGUAAUAUACAUGACAUCUUCUAGGCCAAAAUCAACUUUGAAAUUCUUGAAGCAAAAAGCAGACUUCUUAGAAUCAUAAUACUGCAUCAAGGCAAAAACAAGCGGCAUAUUUUGCGGCUUAGCACUAGUUUCUUUAGUCUCCAAGAAAAACUUGAAGCAAGUAAAGGGUAUAGAGAUCAACACAACACAGAGAAUUGCUUAUAACUAUAUUUUUAUUGAUAACAAGUUGUUUACAAAUGUUAUCUUGGAGAUUACUUGAUCUAUUCUACCCAAAAGAUCAAACCCGACUAAGAAUAUCUAAGUCUAAUUCUCUUCUCUGUUUCUUAUCACUCUCACGUGAAGACAAAGAGAAUUACACACUCACCUUCAAACUUUUGCAAUGCUCUGAAGUUUUUCAAUCGUAUCGUAGUAUUCUAGAGUGCUCAAAACGCCUCACGCUAAACUCUAGAAUACUUAUACCUACUCUCCAGAACCCUAAACCUAGGAUCUCCGAGAAUCUCAUUUUAAGGAAUCUUUCUUGUUUUCUUCAAGCUUAUUCCUUCCUAAAUCUUCGAGAUGAUAUCUUCAAUAUCUUCUUGGUAAUUCUUGUCUUUGACACCACGCCAAGUCAGCUUUCAUCCUUGGCUCUCCACAUCAUCCGCCUUAGCUUGCCACGUUUGCUCUCGCAUCCAUGUCUGCAAAUCAAGCGUCUGAUGAAACCCGAUGCAGCGUCCUGAAAUCCAUCAACGCUCAGAUCGCCAUCAGCUGAUUGAUUGACUCCGCAUCUUCAAUCUCCCCCUUUUUGACUGAGUUUGAUACUCAAGCACUCCUUUAUUGAUAUAACCUGAAACUCAAAUCGGAGACAUAACACACAUACUCUAGAAACAUCAUCUAGCAUAAAUGAUUAGUCUGAAAGUAAACAUUGUGUUAAAAAUAUUACAGACCCAUGUUUACGAUGAUAUAAUCAUCGGUUUAAACAAAAACACAAAAGAAACUGUUUUGGUCUGAAAUACAAUGAAGCUUAUAACAAUUAAAAACUUAAACAACACAGCUCCCCCACAACUUAAUCUCCCCCAGCAUCAACGGAGUCCGAAGGGGCCUUAUCUCCCCCUGCUUGAGCACAGAACUUAGUCAAAAAUCAAAUACUCAAUCAAAGAAAUGUAAUAUACAAUCGAUCAGGCUGAGCAUACCCAGCGUUGGAUGUGGGAGACGAAUUUGAGCAGCAGAGUUUAAACAGUUCCAAACUCGUAGGUGUAAAGGCACUCACCUGAAGCUUGCUCAGAACACUGACUUUCCCACCAGUGAGAAAUUCAGCCACUUGUUCAUCAACCAGACCAGCGAUAUCCAUCCGCUGCUGUCUAGCAUCAACAGAAGGGAGACCAUACAUCUCGUUGAUCUUCCCAGGUGAGAGCUCAUACUCCCGAUUGCGCACCAAGACUUUGACCAUAUACGUGUCUACCUUCAUAGUGGGCAGAUUAGCCCAGAACUCAAACACUAGAUUCUGAGUGAACGGGUUGAACUUAGUAACCGUUCGAAUCAGUCCUGCCUGCUUUAUAAACUCCCUAGCUGCCUCAUUUGUCUUCCUAGACAGUUCUACUUCCUCAAUGAAAUUUCGUUGAGAGAAUUGAGCAUACCUCUUUUCAGCCUCCGUAGAGACAAAUCGAAUUCCAUCGAAGGAAGAUGAACCGGUAACUCCCUUUCCCUGCUUCAUCCUUUUGAUGCGUGGAUCCGCAGCAGAUGACUUCCUCUUGCGCAAUCGAGAUGCAACAGAGGGUUGCGAGGGGGUAGCCUCAGGAUCCUUCGGUUUAGGGUUCUGAACACUGUCGAUUGAAGGCAGAGUCUCAUCCUCAACCUCGAUGAUGAGUGGAGGCGAUGGGUCUUUGACGAGAACUAGAGCCCAAUCAGGGUUGGGUUCAGUGAGUGCUUCAUCGGAUUUCACCUCUUGACAUUCUGUUGCAGUCGGCCGUGAAAUCUCUGGCAACGAAUCACUAGAUUGUGCACCGAACAUGUCUGCAGAAGAUGCGGACUCGGCUUUCUAUUGAACCAGGCGUUGCAGACCGGAGAGAAGUGAUUUCAUGCUCGAUCUCACUCGAAAUUGCGUUGAACACAGGGGAUUGCCUUCUCGACUUCCAAAUAAGAAAUUGAUUUGACUCCUCAAACCCUAACUCCUCUUUUUCCCUCCAAUACUCGAGCACUCCUCCUUGAAAUUCUGUGGGCUUGAAACAGGCUUGGGCCCAAACUGUUUUAAUAUUCUGAAACACUUAACAAACACAUAAGUGCUUCUUUGCCAAGAGAAUUUUCAAUCAAACACGUGAUUAAAUUUCAAACACAUUCAGAGCAACAUUGAACAUUUUAUAGCCUGAACUAGUUUAGUGACCUAAACAGCUAAUUGACACAUGAGGGUAAAAGCUUUCCAACACUGAUUUCAAAGUUUACCUCUUCCUAGUACUUGAAAAUGUGCUUUGUGCCAAUCAGGUGUUCACGACUUCCGCAUGAAACUGUCAUAACCAAUCAGAUCGUUGAUGAAUCAGCUCAUUAUUCAGUGGCUAGUCUUUCACACUGUCAUGCCUUUAGCUCUCAUGAAUCAGAUCAACGUGUAACAGGCAGCUGGAAUGUCCUUUGAAGAUAGUUUGACUAAACAGGGGCGUGAUGAUAUGAAUUCUUUUGAAUUACUCCCUUAUUUUGUUAUAUCAGCAAUAUCACUUGACUUCUCAAUUGCUUGAUAUUCGAACCUGGUGAACUUGAUACACAUUUUUUUUUUUUUUUGUGUACCAAGUUCAUUCAGUUUGUUGAUCUUCUCAGCUCUUUAACCUCCUGUUAGACGACAACUUUUUACGUCUGAUUUGAACCGGCAUGACAUGCAACUAUUUUCCACAUGACUUUGCUAAGUGCUGAUCCUCUAUGCAUCUUUGGAUUUCCAUGACUUGUUCUUGCUUCAGGUCCCUAUUCUAGAUCAGCACAACUCAAACACAAUUAUAGUUCAAACAUUCCAAUGAACAUUCGUAGAGUACAUAAUUUGUUAGACAUCAGAGGUUUGAUAAACACAUCAGCUAGUUGAGCUUUAGUACCCACAUGUUCAAUUGCUAUUAGUUUCUCCUUAACCAAUUCAUGAAUAUAGUUAUGUUUAUGAUCUAUGUGCAUUGUACGAGACUUCCUAGCAGGUUCUUGGAAACAAUGUAUAGCACUAUGAUUAUUGCAAUACAGUACUGGAAAAUCAGAGAUCAUACCACACUCCUCUAUGAGCUGUUUCAGUCGUACAAGUUGAGAACUCGAACUCUCCAAAGAACUUAGCUCUGCUUCAGCAGUUGAUAGAAGCUGACUGUUCUGCUUCAUGCUCUUCCAAGACACCAUGUUGUUUCCAACAAAAUAGCAUCCUCUAAGUGAUCCCCGUAUGUCAUCCAAAGAUCAAGCCCAAUCCGCAGCACAAUAUCCCUUCAGUCUAUUGUCAGUGUCCUUGGUGUAGUACAGCUCGAAAGUUGGUAUACCAUUCACAUACUUGAGAAUUCUUCUUACAGCUGACAAGUGCGACAUCUUGGGGUUGACUUGAUACUGAGCACACACAUUCACUGCAUGACAGAUAUCUGGUCUACUCACAGUCAAGUACUGAAGACUCUCGAUCAUCCCCUGAUACAUACUAACAUUUACAUCUCCUCCUCUCUCAUCUGCAGUAAGUCUUGUCGAGAUCUUCAUCGGUGUUGUGACAAUCUCUUGUGCAUCCAGUUUGAACUUCUCAAUCAUUGUUCUUGCGUAUAUAUUCUGCGACAUAGAUAUGCCCUCAUCAGUUUGCUUAAUCUGUAUGCCCUGCAUGUACCUCAGAACUCCGUACAUACUUACUUCAAACUCUCUGGUAAUAAGUUCAACAAAAGCUUGUACAAGUGUUUGAUUUGUCGAGCCAUACAACACAUUUUCUCCGGAAGCUGCUUUAAGCAGUAGACAACUGUUUUCAAUCUAUGAGCCGAGUAUGGAUGUCCCGGAACACCGAAUGCUCUUGGGUGACUCUCAAACCAUUCCCUCUGGGGUUCACUACUCAAGAUCCCUUUCUGGAGUACCAUCUGAUAAACAUAGAACUGUGUUGCACACACACAUCCUAGCAGAAACCUGAUAGAUUCACAUCAAGCAAGAUGUGUAUCAAUCUUUGACUCGUCUUCCAUCCGAAUAUAGCCCUGAGCCAACAGCAGAUGUCUAAGACGGAUUGCAACACCGGCUUCAUCAAUGAUCUGAUUGCAGAUAUCAGAUCCCAAUAGCUUGACAGACUUAAGUAAGUUCAGUUCCCACUCCAUUGCAUCUUCCUAAUUGUUAACACACGAAGAAUCCAAGAUCACUCUUCCCCCUUGAAUCUCAUUCAUGACACUAGUGUUAAUGAGAUUCCACACUGUAUUGGUUGUGAGAUGACGUGAACCGUGUGUUUGAGGAACUGGAACUGAGAUUGCUUGUUUCCUGAGAUCAGCUGACCUUCCCACCAACCACCUGAGACAAGUAAGCCAUACAGACUGGUCAGAUACCAAGCUAAACAAUUGCAUACCUUGUUGAUUGUGAACUUGAAUGGAGCCUGCCAGCUCAUUGUGUAUAUGGUAAACUCCUGAACCGAACUCAUGGCUUCACCCAUAUGAUCAGAUUCUAGCAGAGACACUAGCGAUUGAUCUUCUGAAGUAGAUUGAUCGAUCUGUGAUGCAGUGUAGCAUGACUCUUCUGGAUUCCACAUGUAACAGUUAUUUGCAGCACGGUGUCCUUCCAUCUUUACAAAUCCAUGUUUGUCAAAGGCUUUGCAUUCCGUUUGUGUAAAGAAAACACUCAAACCAUCGUCACACAGUUGACUGAUACUGAUCAGAUUUGCCUUAAGUCCAUCAACAUGAUAUACAUCGGUUAGAUGAGGCAAGGCUUGUCCGGAAGUAUAUCCCUUUCCUUUGAUCAAGGCAUGACCUCCAUCUCCAAAUCUGACUUUCCUAGAUGGCACAUCCUUAUAUCCAGCAAGAUUGUCUAGUGUUCCAGUCAUGUGUCUGGAGCAUCCACUAUCAAAGCACCACAUCAGAUCCUUGAGUUCUGCAUUCGCUGAUGUUUGAGUAACAUGACACUAUAGAUGUUCUUUCUUGACAUACACUUGUCUGACUCGUCGUCCUUGAGCACCCACUUGAUAAUUCCUCCUAGUCUGAACAACAUGUUUCAAGUAGUUGUAGCAGUCUGCUUUGUAGUGACUCAGACCUCCACAGUACCAGCAUCCUGUUCUCUUGCUUCUGAACUCAGGUUUGAAGUAAGUUUGUCUCAAGUUGUAAGCCUGAGAUGCUCGUUUAGGCUUAGAGCGAAACAGAUUCCGAACAGUGGUUGUGGGUUUGACCUGAGAUUUAUCGUCUGAAGUGGAUCCUUUGACAAACUGAGUCUCACCUUUUGUAUUUCCUCCAUUGUAUCCAAGACCCCACGUAACAUUAGACGUUCUGCCCAUGGUUAAAAGUUUAUCCAAAUCCUUGGUUCCGACUGCUGACCAGCUUCUUGUCCUUGUACGUUUUUCCCAAGACGACAGUUUACUAGGAAAUUGAACUCAGCCGACUGCUGAAUUCCUCAAUCGACUCUUCAUUCUCCAUUGUCAAGUUUUCAAAUUCAGACGCUAAAAUAUCCAAUCUGGUCCUCUUCACAUUACUGGUUCCCUCAAAGGUUGUUUCUAGAAUGUCACAUGCUUCCUUUGCUGAUGUGCUCCCUUGCACAUGCGUGAAUUGACUCAUUGGCAAUGAUCUGAAGAUGAUUGACAAGGCCGUUGAGUUGUUCUUAGCAGCUGUCUUCUCUUCAGUAGUCCAAUCCUUCUUAGAUUUUGGUAUUUCUAACCCCUUGGCAUCCAUGACCAUCGGAGCUUUCCAUCCUUCUUCCACUGCGAACCACGCAUCCAUUUUAGCACUUUGGAUAGCCUAUCGGAUAGACACCUUCCAGUAGCCAUAAUGCUCAGCAUCCAACUUCAAUGGCUGUUGUAUUGUAACGUACUGUUGUGAUUUCUCCAUUACCCUGUAGCAAGAUCUCACCUGUUGAACAGAUACCACUUGUGUUAGGUGUCAGCUCUGAUACCAAUUAAAGGGUAAAGAGAUCAACACAACACAGAGAAUUGCUUAUAACUAUAUUCGUAUUGAUAACAAGUUGUUUACAAAUGUUAUCUCGGAGAUUACUUGAUCUAUUCUACCCAAAAUAUCAAACCCGACUAAGAAUAUCUAAGUCUAAUUCUCUUCUCUGUUUUUUAACACUCUCACGUGAAGACAAAGAGAAUUACACACUCACCUUCAAGCUUUUGCAAUGCUCUGAAGUUUUUCAAUCGUAUCGUAGUAUUCUAGAGUGCUCAAAACGCCUCACGCUAAACUCUAGAAUACAUAUAUCUACUCUCCAGAACCCUAAACCUAGGAUCUCCGAGAAUCUCGUUUUAAGGAAUCUUUCUUGUUUUCUUCAAGCUUAGUCCUUCCUAAAUCUUCGAGAUGAUAUCUUCCAUAUCUUUUUGGUAAUUCUUGUCUUUGACACCACGCCAAGUCAACUUCCAGCCUUAGCUUGCCACGUUUGCUCUCGCAUCCAUGUCUGCAAAUCAAGCGUCUGAUGAAACCCGAUGCAGCGUCCUGAAAUUCAUCAACGCUCUGAUCGCCAUCAGCCGAUUGAUUGACUCUGCAUCUUCAGCAAGUACUUUGGACUAGGUUUGCUACUCUUGGAUCAAAUUUCCAAGAGGUAAACUUUUGCAAAGCCAUGGUAGUGGUAAGAACUUUUAACUCCUGCAUAAUAUUCAAAUCCAUUCUGCAUAAAAUAAGUGACUGGUAAGUCAAUGAACAUCACAUAAGCCAUAUUGUAUAUUGUUUUGUUUCUAUAAUAUAAAAUAAGUGACUGACUAAAUAAAAAGUGUGAUGAAGAUGUACCUUGACGGGCAUAUUCAGUGGCUUUACUAAGCAAUACUAUCUGAAGAGCUUGCUGCUAAUGAGAAGAAACACAGCGACUGCAAGAGAGGUUAUAUAACUUUUACAGCGUCAUAUAUAGGCAAUCAAGAAACUAAUGCCACUCGAUUUCUGCAUAAAUUCAUCAUAACAAUACUGAAAGCUAAAACAUAAUUAUCUAAAGCUUCAGAAAUUGGCAUUAAGAAUUACCCGUAUGGGAUGAGUUACCCAAUUGGAUGAGUUAUGAGAUAUGAGUAAUUUCUGAUAAUAGCUCAAGAUGAGCCAAUAACUUAAGCCACAAACUGAAACCACUCAAGCUUUAUCACCUUUCUAUACUCUAUAAGCUCAAGAAUCACCCACAUAACCAAAAGAAUCAACUCAAAUCAAACAAACAAAAAAGAUUUUAACUGCUUCUUGUAAGUUAAUGGGAAAUGCAAGAGUUCAAAAGGGUUCAUAAUAUUAGAUGUAGUUCAAAAGAUUUAACAAUAUCACAUAAUGUACUAAAUUUAUUAAGUAUUAUAACCCGAAACCCUGUUUGGGCAAGCCUUAAAUAUGAAAUUAUAUUUGUUAAUACUAAUCAACAAUGAUUCAAGUAUACUAAUCCAAAUAAUUGACACAAAUUACAAGAAGAUUCAGAAGACAAUGACUCAAGAGGGAGCACAACCAAUUGCAAAAACAGGUCCAACAGAAACCACAAUCAAAAGGGACACACACUGAUCUGCUAACUACGCUGAUUUCCAGAAAAGAUCACCGCCCAUGAGUUACUCCUUCUCAGGGGAAGCAAAGGUCAAUUCGCGACGAACAAAAGGUAUCAAAAUUCAAAUCCUUAAAUUUGACUAUGGGUUUCAAUCGAAGAGCUCAAGAGGGAGUGUUAAUAUUCAAUAUGGGAAAAUAAUGUUUUAUACAUUAACUUUCAAAAAGUGGCCAAUCAAUACGUGAACUCUAAAGUCGGCUAAAUUAAACAUGAUAAAAACGUUGACCAGCCUUUUUAACAUAAACAAAAUGUUGACCCGGCUAAAAUCCCGAGACGUUAACUCGCCGAUUAACCCCGUUAACCGACGUUAAUGAGUUCUGUUAAAGACAAAACAACGUCGUUUUGUACUAACGAAACAAAUCAAAAUUCCCAAAUCGAAAACUCAAUCCCUAAUUCUCUCAAAAUCCCUAAUUCUCUCAAAAUCCCUAAUUCCCUCAAAAUCCCUAAUUCUCUAAAACCAAAUCCCGAAUUCUAACUUUGGUGAAAUCGUGUUUGUUCUUCGAUUUAUCUAUAAUUCGUUUUGUGAUUGCCUUAGCAAUGGAAGGCGAAGUCCACAUUGCUCAUGUUCCACCACGACGUGAAGUUGAAACCGGAGAUGGAGUUUGAUGGUGGAGUUCUAGCUUUGCCGGCUGUUUUUGUAGCAGAGUCUUUUGUCGGAGUUGAAGCUCUGGUUUCACAGCGGCUUCGAAAACGAAAAGGAAAAAGAGUGAGACUUGAAGAGGAGGAGGAUGACGAACCUGAAUUGGGGGUUGACGCUAACAACGAAGAAGACUGCGGUGUGUAUGGUGAUGAAGACUGCGAUGCUGUGGAAGACAUAGUCGGUGGUGGAGAGAAUGAUGAUAAUUGAUAAUAGGUUUUUAAGAUCAAUUAAUCCUAAAACACUAUCAUGUCGUUGUAGUACUGAAGGUUGUCAAUCCAAAUGGGUGUGAUGCUAACAAUCAAGAUUUGAUCAGAAAUUACUAAGUCAAGCCAAGCAAUAACAGGUUUUGGUGUGUUCUAGCAGUCCUAAGUGAACAUGCAGAAAACAAAAACAAUAAAACACUCGACCAACACAGCUCGUUGCAGAGCACUGGGUGUGGUCGAGUGACUUGGUCGAGUAACAGGCAGUAAACGAAACAGGGAUACUCGACUGCACAGUCUGUUGCCAAACAACUAGGUGGUCGAGUAUCAGGUCGAGUAACAGGAGAGAAAUGCAAAAACUAAGCAACAGGUAACAAGAUGCAGUAAACAACAACAAAGUAAACAAUAAAAUUAAUCAGAUAAAGAAUUCCCGAGGAUGCGGUAAUUGAGUAGUUUUGUUUCCACAGUUUAUAGGUGAUUGACAUGCUCAAUAAAUUAUCCCUAGACAACAAGUUCCUUAACCAAAUCUAAGUGCCACCGCAACAGAGACCCUCAAGUUAACCUAGUCUCAAACUCAAUCACCAUUGACGAGAGCUAAUCUAACAGGCAUUACGAAUCAACAAGUUAAAGCCAAAAUGCUCCCUGCAACGAAUACCUUGGUACAAGGCCACGAAUUUCUGGAAUUAGUGGUUCUGACAUUUCAUCGAACACCUUUUGGGCGCGGAAAGGUCUGGGCUCAAAUUCCAGUUGAUCAGAAAGCAAUAGGCAUUAAGAUCAACUAAUCCAGAAGGGAUCUAUCAAUCAAACUCAACCACCUAGCAUACUAAGAAUUCUACACUACUCUAACUCAUCCUCAGAAACCUAUUCACUACUGAGACAUCAUUGUAGAGAACAUAAACGUUGAAUAGAAUGAAAACAUGAUAACAAUAGAGUAAUAGCAAGGUGAUAAUAGGAUGAACAAGAGUAAACAAAAUCAAGAACAAAAUACUGAAUAUUGAAUACUAAAUAGAUUAAGAGAAAAAUCCGGAUUACAAAAGGUCAAGAACACAAUGUCUGCGGAAAAUAAAACUUAGAUUCGAAAAUGUAAAAUACAUGCUACUUAUAGCAAAAUAUUCCGAAACCCUAAUACUCAAAACGACGCAGUAUUGGGACGGAUUAAGAACGGUACUCGACCCAGGUGGUCGAGUGAAUGGUCGAGUGAUAAGCUGGAGUCUUCUUCUCUUGCUUGUGCUCGAGUGUCUGGUUGAGUGCGGAAUGGAGAAGACUCUGAAGCUGGCAGUCGAGUAAGGACGUCGAGUGAAUGAUGAUAAGGGACUCGACCAUGUGGUAGAGUGAUUGGUCGAGUGGAUGGUGGUUGUAGUACUCGACUUGGUGGUAGAGUGAUUGGUCGAGUGAAUGAUGAUGGUGAUACUCGGCCAUGUUGGUAGAGUGAUUGGUCGAGUGAAUGAUGAUGGUGAUACUCGGCCAUGUUGGUAGAGUGAUUGGUCGAGUGAAUGAUGAUGGUGAUACUCGACCUGUUGGUAGAGUGAUAGGUCGAGUGAAUGAUGAUGGUGAAGGCAGCUACUCGACCAGGGGGUCGAGUGGUGUUGUGAAGUGGGGAAGUCGUCUACUCGACCUUGUGGUUGAGUGGUGGAUAGAAUGUCGCAGUCGAGUGAUUUGCUGUAGAGGUUGUGGCCGAGUACUUCCGGAACUUCAGGAUGACUGUACUCGAGCUCGUGGUCGAGUAUGUUGAUUUGAUCAAGUCCACUUCUUCCAAUUAGCUCACCAGCAGCUCCAAAUCAGCUCAAAACAACACAAAUAUGCAAUAUGCAUGCAAAACUAUCCUAGACAUGCAAAGUGAUGACAAAUGAUGAGAAAUGGUAUAAAAUAGUUGUGAUAUGAUGCUAAAGUAAUGACAAAUGGAUGCUCAAAACGUGUAAAAUGCACACUUAUCAACUCCCCCAAACUUAGUCUUUGCUUGCCCUCAAGCAAACAAUUAAGAACAAGGUGGAGGUGAGGUUUGAAAGCGGGGUGAUCGACUUCUACUUAAAAACUUUAGCCAUGCUCUGUUAUGAUCCAAAUUCACACUCAGUUGCACAAUACGUCAAGAUCAACCAAUCCCGUUAACAUUUAUUAAGUUCAGGAACAUGAAUCAAGAUAUGCAUCGCUAGUGAACUCAUUUGGCUAAAGACGAGUUAUGAGACAAAGAUGGUCCGUUUAAGGUGGUUCAUACAUUAAUAACAGGGGACUCUCAUUGAAAAAGGACUGAGGUUUAGAAGAAUGCUAAAGGUAAGUGCCAACAUAUGCAUACAAGAAUAGCACCCCAUCUACCCAAUGACAUAAACCGUGAAUAACAAGUAGAUGGUCCUAUCUCUAAACCCAAUAAUGAUCCUAAGUCUACCCUUUUGCACUAAAGGCAUAUUUCGAUUUUUGUUUUUUGGAUCAAGUCAUUUCUUUUCAUUUCUUUGGCUCUUGAUCUUAAGGAGAAGCUUUUCUUAAACUCUAUGAGCCUAAUCUAGUGAAUUGGGUUUUUCUUAAACUCUAAUGGUUCUUAUGAUUUUUUUUUUCUUUUCUGUAUUUGUUGCCAUUUUUUUCUAGAGUAUAUCUUAUCAAUUCUAUGCUUCCCAAACAUUCACUAGACCUCAAUAUGAUUUUCAACUUCCUUCUCCUAAAGAUUCUAACCCGUUUUCUUUCUCUUUUUUUCACACUCAAUCUCAAUCCCCAAAUAAGUUCCCACCUAGUCCUACAAAGUCCGAAAACGCGGAUUGGAACUACAUGGGAUACUACUCUUGUCGGCUCAAACCUAAUACGUUCUACCAAGCUCAAUCCUGAAAAUAGGCCUCACAUGCUCUCAUAAAUAACAUGGCUUGAAAGAAGGGUUGGUUAAGGGUGGGGGAACUACUCCAAUAAUAGAAGCAGCUACUUGGAUUAGCAAGAGUGGUGAAUAAGUAAAAGAAAAUCCAAAUAUGUAUUCUAUCCAUGAGUUCAAAACUGAUGCAAACAUGAUAAUUAUAAGUCAGAUUCAAGUUCAAAUUGACAGGGAAAGGUGUCAUGACAUGCAACGAGUGGUUUCUAUAGAACAUGGGGUGGUUUUACUUCAAAUUCAUUCAAAUGCAUCAGAGAACUAAUAACUCAUUUAGUAAAUCAUCAUGCUUACAAGGUUAUCUCCUCAUUGUCCCCUAUGCAUAUGAAACAAUCCUAAAUGAAACACUCUAGACUCGAUUCUAAAUGUAAUGCAACUACAUGAACACUCUGUUUUUGUGAAAUCAUUUUCUCUAAUUUUUCAAUUUUAUUUAUUUAUUUUUUAUAUGCCUUAGAUGAAUGCUGUCUCAACUCAAGAGUAUAUACAAUGCAACACACACUUCCUGAGCCCUCCCCCAAACUUAAAUAUGAAUGCUGACUCAACUCAAGAGUAUAUACAAUGCAACACACACUUCCUGAGCCCUCCCCCAAACUUAAAUCACACUGUCCACUGUGUGACCAAAUUUGGAAGAGAGUACUCAGGACAAAACACAUAACAAAAACACAAUAUAAACAAGAGAUUAUAUAGUACAAUGGUGAAGUGAGGCGCUUACCUCAGUCGAAGAAUGAACGGAGUUGGUCGUCAAUGGGUGCCUGUGAUUGCUCCCAAGGCAUUAAAGAGUCGCCCUGUUCUAUAUCAGCUCUAGCAUGUGGGUACUCGACCUCAUUGCCUCUGUGGCGGCCAGCACCGCCAUGAGUUUACUCGACCUCCCCUCUUCUGCUGCGGCCAGCACCACAGUCGAGUGAUCUCCUUGCGUGGAUAAGCUAAAAUAUGGUCGAGUAUUUUUCAUUGCUCUGUGGUCGAGUAUACUGCUUUCCUCGCAGAGCCAGAAUCCACUUCACUGAGCUCUUUAUACUUAUCUCCUGAAGACACUAACCAAAUGCAUCAAAAACAACAAGGAAAAUAAAGAUAUGUACAAAGAUAGACAUGGGAUUUCCUCCCAAGUGAGCUUGUUUUAAGUCUCUAAGCUUGACUUCAUACUCAUUACGCUUAGGGUGGGUUGUAGAGAGGAAAUGAGGUCUCCUCUCCUCCUUGAGUAGAGUGAUCAUCAUACUCAUUAGGGUUUCCUAACAGGUCUGCAAUUGGGUACUCAGUGGCUAUGUCCUGACAGUAAGCUUCUUUUUUAUCAAGAUAGUCUUUUCCUCUAGACCAUUCCGAUGUGAAUUCAAAUUCCUUUUUUGCUGACCAGAAUAGUGGCUCCAUCGUCAGGGGUGUCCUUGAUGUUGAGUGGUACUUGGUUGGCUUUUCCAUUGAGCUCCUUGAUUUGAUCUUUCAGCUCUUUCACAAUAUGUGUUAGCUCUUGUAUGGCUUUGUCCUGCCAUUUAGAUCUCUCUUUGAGUUCUAACCAAUCAUCUGAUGUCUGAGUGUUUGCCUUGAGUUGUUUGGUCGAGCAUGAGCUUUUAGGGCAAGUUGGAGGCUUCUUCGAGUUGUUGGUGGAAUCAGUUGGUCGAGCGUGUGUUGAACUUUCUUCAUUAGCUUUCAUAACCUUUGUGUCUGACCCCAUCAAGCCUUUGUAAACCUUUGAGCCAACUGCUGACUUGUGUGAGUCUAAUGACUUCUCAGAACUCAAAGUUUCACUAGGGAGAUACCCGGCUUUACCACUCUUGGUCAAAACAGUUUUUGAGUUAUUUGCUUCUUCAAGUUCCACUAGCAGUUCACCAGCUAGUCGAUCCACUUCCUUAACUAAGAAGGUCUGUUCUUUUAUUGUCGGCUUCAUCAUAGCAUCAUUGAUAUUAAACUUCAUUUCAAGAUUCUUCCCUAGAUUAAGAUCAAUCUUUUCUUGCUUAACAUCUAUGAUUGUUGCAGCUGUAGCCAAAAAGGGCCUUCCUAAUAUCAAGGGAUCUUUUGGUUCUUCAUCCAUGUUCAGAACUACGAAGUCUGUAGGCACCUCCACAUUUCCAAUCUUGAUAGGCAAAUCUUCUAAUAAUCCAUGAGGUAGUCUAACAGACCUAUCAGCCAAGAUUAAGGAGAUAUUGUAGUAUUUAUACUUGUUGAAACCCAACCCCUUAGCUACUGAGAGUGACAUGAGAUUUACUGAUGCACCUAGGUCACAAAGGCAUUCAUUGAAAGUCAAUGAACCUAGGGAGCAUGGUAGAGUGAAUGAACCAAGGUCUCCUAGCUUUUCCGAGACAUCGUUCUCCUAUAUGAUGGCACUGCACUUAUGGCUCAGAACUGUUGUUUUCUGAACCUCUUGAAUUCUCUCCAUGAUCAAGUCUUUGAGGAACUUUUGGGAAUCCGGGAUACGCGUUAGAGCAUCAGCAAGAGGUAUCCUUAAUUUGGCUUCCUUGAUGUUAUUGGCAAACAUAGCUCUGUGCUUAUCUUCUAACUCUUUCUUGUGUCGACCAGGAAAUGGAAGUGGGGGCUUAUAAGGAGGAGGAUUGAAGAUUUUUUCUUUGUUUUUGACAGCAACUAGUUUGGGAGCGGUAGGUGAUGUUGCUGGGAAGGUCGGUCGAGUAAAGUGGUCGAGUGGCAGCUCGAGUGACUGGUCGAGUGGCUGCUCAAGUGACUGGUCGAGUGGCUGCUCGAGUUGUUUGUCAGCUUGAUCUUUAUUGAGAUUGAAAUCCUCCCUAUCUUGGUAUGCACUGUCCUCAGUGACUGACUGGGGUCUCUCUCUAGUGGAGAACUCUCUUCCACUCCUUAUGGUGAUAGCAUGAACAUUAGCAAACUCCUUGGGAUUCUGAAUUGACUUCCCUGGAAGUCCCGUAACUUUGGGAGCAGAGGUAGAUGCGGAUUGUCCUUCUAAGUAUUUGACUUUGGAAUUCAACGCCUCCACUUUAGCAUUCAGGUCAUGGUAGCUGCAGUCCAGCUUAUGGUGCAAUUCAGAUAACGUCUUAGCAAUUUCCAUGGAGCUAGAUGCUUGUCCCUGUAGCAGUUGUUGUACCAUCUGUUUCAUUUCAGUAUCAGGAGCAGCAGGACCUUGGUUUUACUGAGGUGCAAACCCAGGUGGUGGUUGCAGCUGGUAGUUCUCCUGGAAUUCUUGCUUGGGAAUGAAACCUUGGUUGUAGGGAACAAAAGGUUUGUUCUGACCUUGUUGUUGCUAUGGAGGAUACACUUGAUCCUAAGGAUUAGCAACGUUGGUGUUGCGGUAGGAGAGGUUGGGGUUGUUGGUUUUGAAGUUGGUGUACCCUUUGUAGCUACUCUAGUUGUUGUUGAUGUAGCUGGCCUCUUCUAACUGGUUACCCUCUCCAUCUUGGACUUGAUAUUGCUCGUCAUCAACAAGGAAGUGCACAUGCUUUUGCUGGCUAAGAAGAAUCUUGUCCAGCUUGUCAUUCAGUGCUUUGAUCUCCUUCCUGUGUUUGUCAUCAAAGUCAGAUGUGCUUCUGACGGUCCUAUCGCAGUCCUCGUUGUAAUUACCAUCUGAUUGAGCAAGGUUCUCAACCAAUAUCCCAGCCUUCUUCAACAUCUUUGUUCUAGAAAUUCCCAUUCUUGGCUGUAUCCAGAAGCAUUCUGAUGCGUGGUAGAACUCCACUGUAAAGAGUGAUGAGCAGAGAGGCUUUCGUGAGGCCAUGAUGAGGGCAUUGGUUGGUGUAACCCUUGAAACGUUCCCAUGCUUCACAGAAGCUUUCACCACUCUUCUGUGAAAAACCAGAAAUCUCAUUUCUGAGUCUUGCAGUUCUGGCGUUGGAGAAGAACUUUGAUAGAAAAGCCUUCUUGCAAUCAUCCUAGGUGGUGAUUGAGUCAUGGGGCAAAUUCUUCUCCCAGAUGUGUGCUUUGUCGCCCAAGGAGAAUGGAAACAAACGGAGUUUGAAUCUGUCUUCACUGACACCAUUGAUUUUUGUUAGGUUACAGAACUUAUCGAAUUCAUCAAGGUGGUCGAGUGGAUCCUCCAUUGGUAGACCAUGGAAUUUGUUCCCCUGAAUCAUCGAGAUGAGACGACUCUUAAUCUCGAAGUUGUUGUUCUAGAUAGCAUGAGGUGCAAUUUCUUUCCUCUAACGAUGGUCCCGUGGUGCAUCUCAAGCACCAAUGUUGGCAGGACCAUUCUGUUGAUUCUGUUCAUCAGCCAUUUCGAGUGGUUGCUGAGGUACAAGGUUGACUGUGUUUCUCCUUUCUCUGAUUUUGCGAGCUAAGCGGUCGAUAUUGUCGUUGAAAAGGAGGUUCUGAUUGCCUGUUGAUCGAGUUUGCAUAUAGAAGAGGUGUACCUGGAUCAAGAAGAUAACAAGAAAAACACACAGUUAGUAAUUGAAAAAAAAAUGGAAAAAGAACUUGAUCUAAGCAAGUCUGAAAUCUUAAAUGUAACAAACAAACACCCAAUUGGCAACGGCGCCAAAUUGAUAAUAGGUUUUUAGUCAAUUAUCCUAAAACACCAAUCAUGUCGUUGUAGUAUUUUAGGUUGUCAAUCCAAAUGGGUGUGAUACUAACAAUCAAAAUGUGAUCAGAAGUCACUAAGUCAAGCCAAGCAAUAACAGGUUUCGGUGUGUUCUAGCAGUACUAAGUGAACAUGCAGAAAACAGAAAAUCAAACAGAAACAGUAAAACACUCGACCAACACAGCUCGUUGUAGAGCACUAGGUGUGGUCGAGUGAGUUGGUCGAGUAACAGGCCGUAAACGAAACAGGGAUACUCGACUGCACAGUCUAUUGCCAGACAACUGAGUGGUCGAGUAUCAGGUCGAGUAACAGGAGAGAAAUGCAAAAACUAAGCAACAGGUAACAAGAUGCAGUAAACAACAACAAAGUAAACAAUAAAAUCAAUCAGAUAAAGAAUUCCCGGGAUGGGAUAAUUGAGUAGUUUCAUUUCCUUAGGUUACAGGUGAUUGACAUGCUCAAAAAAUUAUCACUAGACAACAAGUUCAUUAACCAAAUCUAAGUGCCACCGCAAUAGAGACCCUCAAGUUAACCUAGUCUCAGACUCAAUCACCAUUGACGAGAGCUAACCUAACUUGCAUUACGAAUCAACAAGUUAAAGCCAAAACGCUCCCUGCAACGAAUACCUUGGUACAGGGCCACGAAUCUCUGGAAUUAGUGGUUCAGACAUUUCAUCGAACACUUUUUGGGCGCAGAAAGGUCUGGGCUCAAAUUCCAGUUGAUCAGAAAGCAAUAGGCAUUAAGAACAACUAAUCUAGAAGGGAUCUAUCAAACAAACUUAACCACCUAGCAUACUGAGAAUUCUACACUACUCUAACCCAUCCUCAGAAACCUAUUCACUACUCAAACAUCAUUGCAGAGAACAUAAACGUUGAAUAGAAUGAAAACAUGAUAACAACAGAGUAAUAGCAAGGUGAUAACAGGAUGAACAACAGUAAACGAAAUCAAGAACAAAAUACUGAAUAUUGAAUACUAUAUCGAUUAAGAGAAAAAUCCGGAUUACAAAAGAUCAAGAACACAAUGUCUACGAAAAAUAAAACUUAGAUUCGAAAAUGUAAAAUACAUGCUACUUAUAGAGAAAUAUUCCGAAACCCUAAUACUCAAAACGACGCAGUAUUGGGACGGAUUAAGAACGAUACUCAACUCAGGUGGUCGAGUGAAUGGUCGAGUGAUAAGCUGGAGUCUUCUUCUCUUCCUUGUGCUCGAUUGUCUGGUUGAGUGCGGAAUGGAGAAGACUCUGAAGCUGGCAGUCGAGUAAGGACGUCGAGUGAAUGAUGAUAAGGGACUCGACCAUGUGGUAGAGUGAUUGGUCGAGUGGAUGGUGGCUGUAGUACUCGACUUGGUGGUAGAGUGAUUGGUCGAGUGAAUGAUGAUGGUGAUACUCGGCCAUAUUGGUAGAGUGAUUGCUCGAGUCAAUGAUGAUGGUGAUACUCUGCCAUGUUGGUAGAGUGAUAGGUCGAGUGAAUGAUGAUGGUGAAGGCAGCUACUCGACCAAGGGGUCGAGUGGUGUUGUGAAGUGGGGAAGUCGUCUACUCGACCUUGUGGUCGAGUGGUGGAUAGAAUGUCGUGGUCGAGUGAUUUGCUGUAGAGGUUGUGGUCAAGUACUUCAGGAACUUCAGGAUGACUGUUAAUACAACUCUCUUGUUUAUGACAUAACUCAGCACCUCUAUUUAUAUGAAAACUCUAGUCCUAAUCCUACUAGGAAAACAUAUAUUAAGAUAACUCCUAAAGAGAUUUGAGAUUAUCACUUCCUAAACCAUAACUCGGUUAGGAUCUAAACCAUAACUCGGUUUAGUAUUACUUUCUUCUUAAGCUUUAUUCGAGCUUAAUCCUUCAAGCUAAAUCCAACACGGGAUACAAACGAUUCCGAGGCCAGUGGGCACGGAAACAUGGUGCACAAAUAAGAGUGAAAACACAAGUUCCUUAGAAACUUUAAACAAUGUAAAAAACAAUGUAAAGAUAUAUUUAUUUAUUUUUACUUCCUCUAAACCUUUUUUUUCUCUCUCCCUCUAAACCUUUUUUUUGAGGCGGCGAUGAUGGUUGUUUCUAUUCAGAUUUGAUAUGGUUAUUUUUCUAGUGUUGUUGUUUGAUCUCAAGGAGAGAUCUUCGGUUGUUUUCACGGUCAUUCAAGGUUUUGAUUUAUCUUUUGUAAUAAGGAAUCUCUUUCAAACGAGAGUUGUUGUUCAUUUGGAGAAAGGUAGAUCUGUUGGGAUUCUCUAUGAUCAAGCUCCGGGAUUUAGAGUGGGUUUCUCUGAGAAGGCACAAAUCGUCAUUGGCUUUGGUUAGGAUCCAAAGUUAGGAUUUUGAUUUGCGUUGAUUCAUGACAUAACGAUAUAUCUAUGGCAAAGGAGAUUUACAAUCUCGCAAUCAAAGGUUGAAGAGGGAUUAAAGCUGUCAUAAGAAGAGAAAUCUUCGUCUUGGUUACGGCCACAAAAUCCGAGUUUUUACAGUGGGGAUAGAUCGAGAUUUUAGGACUUAAUAUCAGGUGAUUUUUUUGGAAAUAAUAUCUUCUAUCAAGGGGUUCCAGGAAUUAACAUCAGCGGAUCUGCUGGUGUAUAAAUCAGAGGUACGAACUGAUGGUUGUCCUCAUCGCAAUCAUUUUUUACAGUCUCAGUGUCGCAAGAGUUUUUUCAAAGGUUUCUACUCAGCUUUAUUGAGUGUUUUCAGGUUGCUCGUUCUCUUGGGUUUGUAUUUGUUCGGAUCUUGUUUGGGUUAGGAAGAGGGAUGUCGCAAAGCGGUUUGGUUAAUCAAGGCAGCAACGUGAGUAACACCAUGAAGCUUAAGAUCAAGGUUCCUCGUUUUGAUAACAGUUCUUUGAUCGAGGGCUAUUCCAAGACUCUUAUCGGCAGAUGUAUGAAUCCAGCAAUGCAAGACAUGAAGUCGUUGCUGUUCAUGUUGCCUAAGAUUUGGAAAUUAGAGGAUAGAGUUGUUGGUGCUAACUUGGGUCAAGGUCGUUUUCAAUUCGAUUUUGAACACGAAGAGGAUAUCUAGGAGAUCAUGGAAGUGGAACCAUUUCAUUGAUCAUUGGAUGUUGUCUUUGGUUAGGUGGGAACAAGUGGUGGACCGGAGAUACCCUUUUCUUAUUACUUUAUGGAUUCGGGUAUUGGGGGUGCCUCUACAUUUCUGGGCAGAUGAAACUUUUCGGUGUAUCGGUUCCGAUAUAGGUGAGGUUCAAGCGGUGGACCUGGACUUUGGAAGGGUCCAAGUUAAACUUGAUGGUUUUAAACCAUUGUGUUUUGAGGCGGCUGUAGAGUUUCAUAGUGGCGAAGAGACAAUGGUCUCGCUGUGGUAUGAGAGACUUUUUGGCUUCUGUCAAAGAUGUUAUAGUCUCUGUCAUGAGCAGAUGCGAUGUCCGAUCUUUGGGGACAAGGGGAAGCAGAGUAUUUUCAAAGAGGAUCCAAAGAGGGAUAAUACGCUUCAAAGAUACAAAGGUGCUGCCAUUAAUGGUUCAGUUCCUGGAACUUCCUCGGGUUCGACUAGGGCUGUCUUUGCUGAACCUUCUCAAGGACUGACUUCAAUUGAUAAGAAGGAUGCAUCUAUUCAGGACAGCUAUAACCGAUCAAAGCAGAUCUCUGGUAUUAAGGCUAAAAAGGGGAGAAGGAAUCUAUUUGUGGCUCCUGUCCAAGCUUCAUCAUCUCAAAUGGCUGUUCAGGUAACUAAGUUAUCCCAACUACAAACAGAUACCGUGGGGAUGGGUUUUCCGGAUCAUGAGAAGAAGAUGCUGGAGGCUUUUCUUGCUCCUGAAGCGGGGAAGACGGUGACAGAUUUGGGUACUCUAGGUGCUAAUAUGGAAGGUAUUCUUAGUGGCACGAUGCCAAGUAAGGUGGUACGUAAGAAAUUUUUUUCGGGUCCAGAAGAAGUUACUAUUCAAAACAAGGCAGAGAAUGCUCUCGAGUUGGCUGAGCAACAUGAUCUAUUCUCUGAUGAUUUAAGUCAGUUGCUUGCUCAAAGUUCUCCUCUUGAAGGAGACCCUUCUUUGCAAUUUAUGGAUACCAAAAUGGAGGAUAAAAAAAGUAGUGGUGUGGAGCUAACCCAUGAGGAUGGAGAGUUUUUCGCUGCAAAUGAAGAGAAUUUUGAUGGGGACAAACUUGAGGUGGUUCUGCUCCCAAUCAACACGGUCUCUGAGAUGAAUGUUAAUAUGGUUUCUGUUUCGGAGAAUGUCCCAAAUGAGCAAGCACAUGAGGAGGAAAUGGAGGGAAAAUCUCAGGGAGAAGAUGAGUUGGAGACGGAUCAACCUGCAAAAAGAAAAAUGGGUAAAAAUAAACGAUUUUUGACAGUAGUUAGCUCUAGGAAGAGGAAUUAUCUGACAUCACCUCGCAAAAGACCAGUUCCAAAAACUGGUGGCCCAACGGUGGGUGCUGGUUCUCAUCAAAGAGAGAAACCUCCUAUUAAACAUUAAUCAUAGUGAUGUGUCCUUUUGGCUGGUUGGGUGAGUGGUGAAAAGUUUAUUUCAUAGAAAUAAAUUCUUUACAAGAACGUGCUCUUCAAUGUUGUUUCAAUUUCCGGUUUUGUUCAGUAAAUCCGAUUUUAUUUUGUAUAGUCUGUUUAUGUUUCAAUGUAAGAUAUCAGUUACAGUUUGGUUAUGUUUUUCAUAUCAUCUAUGAGCUCAAAGUAAUAAUACAAGGGAAAUUUUUUACCCAUUGGCUAUUGGUGUAUGUUCCGGUUUCGAAAUUUCUGGUUCUCAUGUACUGUUGUAAAUUCUUAAACCAAAGAAAUAUCAGCAGUUAUACUAAUGGUUUGGUUGUGAUUUUUUUUUUUCUUUAUCAAGGAUGGAGUUAUGACCAAAUUAAAUAUAAUUUUAAUAAUUAAGUGUCAUUUGACUCUUACUUUCAAGGUAACUUCGGUAAUGGUUAACGGAAUAUUUUACGGGGAAUUUCAAAAUGGGUUAUGCAUGGCUCUUUUAUAUAAAUAUGCCUUGGUUUUCAUAAGAAAAAACAUAAGUUUAAAAUCCAAAUCGGUUAUGGAUUUUACCCGAGGAUCUAUGCUAGCGGAAAUGGUCUUAGGGAAGGGUCAAAGCACCCUUUUGAAAAAACAAAAUAUUAUAUGAAGAUAGUAUUAAGUUGGAAUUGUCAAGGUUUAGGGAAUAAAGCAACAAUCGGUUAUUUACGGGAUUUAUGGAAAAAACAUCGGCCAGAUUUUUUAUUUUUAUCGGAAACAAAACAAUCUACUUCUUAUAUGGAAAACUUUGUUGGUCAUUUUGGGUAUAAAAACUUAACAACAGUUGACCCUAUUGGUUGCAGUGGUGGUUUAGCUCUUUCCUAUAAUAAUGAUUUUAAUGACACAAUCAUUUAUCAAAGUAAUUGGUUAAUUGACAUUGAAGUCGUUUAUAAAGGUAUUACAAUAAAUCUUACCUUUGUUUAUGGAGACCCGGUUCCAAAAAACAGAGAACAAGUUUGGGUACGGUUAACACGAAUCGGUAUAUCUCGGGGUACUCCUUGGUUUUUAGUAGGAGAUUUUAAUGAAUUAAAAGGAAAUCAUGAAAAAAGAGGGGGUAAAUUACCACAUGCAUCUUCGUUUAUACCUUUCAAUUUAAUGAUACAAGAUUGCAGACUUUUGGAGUUCCCUCAUCUUGGAGAUUGGUUAUCUUGGCGGGAUUAGUGAGAUAUAAAACCAAUACGAUGUAAGUUGGAUAGAGCAUUAGCUAAUGAAGAUUGGCAUUAUUUAUUCAGUAAUUCUUUUAUUGAGUAUUUACAAAUGGUGGCUUUUGAUCAUGCACUGGUGAUAGCUACGAUUACGGAUAAGAUACCACGCGGGAAACAAAAUUUUAGGUUUGAUAAAAGAUGGAUUGGAAAAGAAGGAUUGCAAGAGGCAAUUUCAUAUGGUUGGAAUCUCGCUACCUGUUUAGGAGAAGGAAAAUUUGUGGAAAAAUUAUCUAAUUGUAGGCGGGCUAUAUCACAAUGGUGGAAAGUAUUAACUCCUUAUGGACGAAAGACAAUAAAGGAAAUUAAAUCUGAAUUAGGUGCGGCACAGAGGGAUGAUUCGAGAACACGGGAGGAGAUUACAGAUUUAACACUACGGUUGAAAGAGGCUUAUAGAGAUGAAGAACAAUAUUGGUAUCAAAAAGUAGGAGUUUAUGGAUGACAUUAGGGGAUAAUAAAUCGAAAUAUUUCCAUGCUCUAACAAAGCAGAGACGGACUAGGAAUCGGAUAACCGGGCUACAUGAUGAAAAUGGAAAAUGGUCUGUAGAGGAUGAAGAUAUUCAACACAUAGCGGUGUCUUAUUUUGAGGAUUUGUUCACUACGACUAAUCCUCAAGAUUUUGAGGAUUCUUUGGCAGAAGUUCGGACUUUAAUAACAGAUCAAAUAAAUGAAUAACUAACGGGUCCCGCGACAAAAAGUGAGGUUUGUGCAACAUUAUUUAUGAUGCACCCGGAAAAGGCAACAGGGGUAGAUGGUAUGACAACAUUGUUUUUUCAGAAAGCUUGGGAUACCAUAAAAAAGGAUUUAUUAUUUCUUGUAAACUCUUUCUUACAAAAUGGAGUAUUCGAUAAACGGUUAAAUACAAACAUAUAUGUUUGAUCCCAAAAACAAAGCGACCGACACAUAUGACGGUAUUACGGCCUAUUAGCCUUUGUAAUGUUGGGUAUAAAAUUAUUUCAAAGAUUCUUUGUCAAAGACUUAAGACGGUUCUACCAUCUCUUAUUUUGGAAACUCAAUCUGUGUUUGUUGAAGGACGUCUGAUUUGAGAUAAUAUUCUUAUUGCAUAGAAGAUGUUUCAUGGGUUAAGAACUAAUCCGUCAUGUAAAGGAAAAUACAUGGCUAUUAAAACAGAUAUGAGUAAAGCAUAUGAUAGGGUUGAAUGGAAUUUUCUUGACGAAUUAUUAGGAAAAUGGGCUUCUGUGAAAAGUGGAUAUCAUGGAUAAUGUUGUGUAUUACUUCAGUCCAAUAUAAGGUCCUUCUGAAUGGACAACCUAGAGGACUAAUAAUACCAGAACGAGGGUUAAGACAAGGAGAUCCGCUUUCUCCUUACUUAUUUAUCCUCUGUACAGAGGUUCUAAUUGCGAAUAUUCGGAAAGCAAAACAAGGAAAAAUGAUUACGGGCAUCAAAGUAGCAACUGCAAGCCCCUCAGUAUCUCAUUUGUUAUUUGCGUAUGAUAGUCUUUACUUUUGUAAGGCUGAUAAAGAACAAUGCGGAGUAAUUUUAAAUAUCUUAAAACAAUAUGAAGCAGUUUCAGGGCAAAUGAUAAAUUUUUCAAAAUCAUCGAUCCAGUUCGGUCAUAAAGUAGAAGAUUCUAUAAAGGCAGAAAUUAAAUCGACUUUGGGUAUUCAUGAUAUCGGUGGCAUGGGUUCUUAUCUCGGGUUACCGGAAAGUCUAGGGGUUCUAAGACAAAAAUAUUAUCUUUUGUUUGAGAUAGAUUACAGACUAGAAUAAAUGGGUGGUCGGCAAAAUUCUUAUCGAGAGGAGAGAAAGAAGUGAUGAUUUAAUCGGUAGCUACGACAUUGCCAUCUUAUGUAAUGUCUUGUUUUAGGCUUCCGAAAACAAUCACUUCCAAACUAACAACUGCGGUCGCAAGAUUUUGGUGGAGUUCGAACGGUGAAUCUAGAGGUAUGCACUGGAUGGCUUGGAACAAAUUGUGUAGUAGCAAAUUGGAAGGUGGUUUAGGUUUUCGGAGUAUAGAUGAUUUUAAUUCAGCUCUACUAUCGAAACAGUUAUGGCGUUUGAUAAUGGUUCAAGAUUCUCUUUCUGCAAAGGUUUUCAAAGGGAGAUAUUAUUGAAAAUCGAAGCCUUUGGAAAAUAUAAAAUCAUAUUCUCCGUCUUAUGGAUGGAGAAAUAUUUGUUCAGCAAGAUCUCUGGUUAAUAAAGGACUUAUUAAAAGAGUCGGUUCAGGGGCAUCCAUCUCAAUUUGGAAGGAUCUGUGGAUUUCGGCUCAAUUCCCGAGACCAGCAAUACGUAAUCGUUUAAUUAUUGACCCAUCUUUAAAAGUUCAACAUUUAAUAGAUAGCCAGCUAAUCUCUUGAAGGAGCUCUUUGAUCCGGAAGAUGUCCAGCUAAUAAGUGCAUUGCACUUGGGUGCAUCAACAAAAGAGGAUACUCUAGGUUGGCAUUUCACCAAAUCCGGAAAAUAUACAGUUAAAUCUGGUUAUCAUACACCAAGGUUAGAAAACUGGGAGGAUAAUUCAUCUUUCAUUGGUACUGAAAUAAAUGUUCUAAAAGCACAUGCUUGGAAAGUUCAAUGUCCACCUAAGGUUGUGUCCUUGUCACAGAGAAUUUACGGAGAAGAAUUGUGAUACAGGAUGUGUCAGAUGUGGCGCUAUUACGGAAACAAUAAACCGUACCCUUUUCCAAUGUCAUCCGGCGAGACAGAUGGGCCCUCUCAAAGAUUCCUACGGUUCCAGGAAUUUUUCCUACGGAUUCUAUUUUUACGAAUUUUGAUCACUUAUUCUCAAGAAUACCUUCAGAAUUAGAUUCAUCUUCAUUUCCAUAGAUAAUCUGGUAUAUUUGGAAAGUAAGGAACAAAAAAAUAUUUGAAAAUGUGGAUAAAGAUCCGUUAGACGUAUUAUGUUUAGCAGAAAAAGAGGCACAAUUAUGGCAGUUAGCUCAAUUUAAGCUCAAUACCAAAAAUAACGGUUCCAUGGGAUCGGAAAAACAAAUUCGGGUCCAGAAUAUAUCACACGAUAAUAUUUAUUCAGGUUUUCGUUGUUUUGUGGACGGAUCUUGGAAAGGAAGCGAUAAGUUUUCUGGAUUAGGGUGGUUUUGCACAUCAUCAAAUAGAGACUCGCCAACCAUGGGAGCUGCUAAUCUUCGUAGAAGUCUUUCUCCACUACAUACAGAAGUCGAAACUCUACUCUGGGCGAUGAAGUGUAUUAUUGGUGCCGACAACCAAGAAGUAGCAUUUUUUACAUACUUUUCAGACCUGGUGAAGAUGGUGUCUUCCCUAACCGAAUGGCUAGCAUUUUCAACGUAUUUGGAGGAAUUCACAAGAUUUUCUUUAUCUUUAAUUUCUGGAAAUGCAAAUGUAAAAGCAGACAAAUUGGCAUGAAAAAAUUUGUACUGAAUCGCUUCAUAUCACUUUUGUAAACAAUUUUCCUCAGAAUUGGCUCUUUUGAGCUCUAAAUAAAAUUUAAUGACAAAAAAAAAGGGUUAUCAUUUUUCCAUCAGAGAGACAGUGACGACAGUUUUUGGUUUAAGCUCAUAUCGUAAAGUUGUAAUUGCAGGGGUAGAAGGAAAACUACUUCCACAUCAUGUAUUGGUGGAAGCAUGUUGAUAUAUUGUGUAAGCUCAUAUCUCAUAACAUGCUUCCACCACUUCUUGAACUUGGCAAAUAAGGCACCCUUGUGAUUCCCCUAUCUCAUUACAAGGAAAAGACAUACCAAUCGACAUAAGUAACAAAAAUUGUGAAUCACAAGAAUGCCAAGAUAUACAUUAUUUUCGAAAGUAUCGCAUUGUUAUAGUUACUUUUUAUUUUACAUAUGGCUGAUCAAAGUAUAAGACAAUAGCCUUUAAACAUCACGAGAACUUAGGAUUGUAAAUAAAAAAAUAAACAUAAUGCGUUAGGAAAACCAUUGGAACAUUUUCUUGAUAUAAUUAGGAGAAAGAAUCACCUUGUAAAUAUCCCCGAGCUUCUUGUAGAAACAAGUGUUAAAUAAAUGACAAUCAGGGGAGAUUUGAUUCGCAGAAGAUACUUGUUGGUGCAAGAAAGCCAUAUAUAUGAUAGAUAUAGUUGUCUAUAUUUAUAGUUGAAUGUGGAAUAUAUCGGAUUACAUCACAGAUCUAUAUCCAGUUUGGAUAUAUUGAUAUUGUCUAUACUUAUAGUUGGAUGUGGAAUGUAAUUGGUUAUAUUAGAGAUCUAUAUCCAGUUUGGAUAUAUUGAAUAUUCAGUAUAAAGAUGAGCCAUAUAAUUGACUACAUUAGAGAUCUAUAUCCAGUUUCUAGUUAGCUGAAUACAAGCUACAAAAUCCUAUUAUAAUUUCCAAGGCCGAUGUAGAUAUAUCGAUGUAUAUGUUAAAUAUAAUCUAUUAUAUGAUGCAACUAUAUCCACUUACUUAAAAAUUAGUGGUGUAACAUAAAUGUUAGUUUCCAAACUGAAUAUAUUGAAUAUUAAGCAUAUAAAUGAGGCAUAUAAUUGACUACAUCGGGAUGAGGCAUGUAAUUGACGUUUUGUCAUGACCCACUCAAAUAAGAACAAUUAUUGGGUUCACCCCUUGGGGUGAACAUCUUUCAUUCACCCCCUCUUAAUUAACUAAUUUGAAAUUUGCCAUAUCAUCUAAUUAACCAAAUUAAAACAAUUAAUAUUAAAUAAAUCAAUUCAUUAAAAACCCCUAAAUUAAAUUAAUUGGAAAAUUUAAACUCUAACCAUUCUUUUCUAAACUUAAACCGACAUAUAUUUUCAUUUAAUUAUAGAAAAUAUUACACAGUGGGACACUUUUACAAAAAUUUGUGGGUUUAGGCACUUCCAAAGGAGAAGGCACUUCCAAAGGAGAAGGCACUUUGACUUGUUAAAUUGUCCAAUUUGCCCUCAAACUUCUUUUCUCGUUUUCUUUAGCAACAUUUCUUCUGUUCUUCGCCACCUCUCUUACGAAAGCUUCUCUUCUUCAUCUCUCUCUUUUUUUCCAGAAUCAAAAUCAAAUAUUAUAGGACAACCUCAAUAUUCAUAAUUCAAAAUUUAAAUUUGAAUCUCAUAGGGUUUAUCAUCAUCCUCCCUAUCUCUCAACAAUCUAACGGUGACACAAAACAAGACUAUCUUUGAUUACUAACCCCCACUCCGUUUCCUCCGUAGCUUCCAACGUCACCUCCUCCUUAGCCACCUCCCUCACGGCCACCACUACCGUAUCCUUUUCCACCACAACCUCUGCUAUGUCUCUCGUAAUCACCACCGCCUCCUCCAUUUCCGCCACCACCUCCUCCGUAUUCAUUACCGCCUCCGCUGCGGUAUCUGCCACCACCUCCACCACGGGUUCCUCCACCGCCUUGAGCAAAUGGGUGGCUGUGGUAAUUUGAUUUUGGUUUUUGAUUUAUUCUCAAGCCAAAGAAUAAAUUAUCUUAAUUGGAUAGUCAUAGCCGUUGUUUUUUUUAAGAUUGUGAUUUAUUUUGCAAUUUAAAUCUUUGUUUUGAUAUAAACUUGAGAUUCAGUUCCUUUAAAAAACUUCUUCUUCUUCAACAAUGGUGGCUUGAUUUGAUUUUUGCUCUCUCUCAUGGGUCAAAUUCGUUUCAUCUACGUAGCAUCAAGAUUACGGUUAAUCGAAUCUCCUGUUAAUAUGGACAUGAUAUAUAGAAUGGAUAUAGAUAAGUAAAAAUGUUUCCCAAUGGAUAUAUUUAAAUGGACUCGUUAUAAUGGACACCAAAAAAUUGUUUGUUAAUUUUUCUUUCAGUUUGCAGAGACCUCCAUCUCCAAGACCUUAUGGACAUGGCACUUUGGUUUCUUUCCAAACCACGGUUAAUCGAAUCUCCUGUUAUUAUGAACAUGGUAUAUAGAAUGGAUAUGAAUCAAUAAAAGGUUUCUGAAUGGAUAUAUAUAAAUAGACUCGUUAUUAUGGACAUCAAAAAAUUGUUUGUUGAUUUUUCUUUCAGUUUGCAGAGACCUCCAUCUCCAAGACCUUAUGGACAUGGCACUUUGGUUUCUUUCCAAACCACGGUUAAUCGAAUCUCCUGUUAUUAUGAACAUGGUAUAUAGAAUGGAUAUGAAUCAAUAAAAGGUUUCUGAAUGGAUAUAUAUAAAUAGACUCGUUAUUAUGGACAUCAAAAAAUUGUUUGUUGAUUUUUCUUUCAGUUUGUAGAGACCUCCACUUCCAAGACCUUAUGGACAUGGAACUUUGGUUUCUUUACAAACCACGAUUAAUCGAAUCUCUUGUUAUUAUGGACAUGGUAUAUAGAAUGGAUAUAGAUUGGUAAAAAGGUUUCCGAAUGGAUAUAUUUAAAUGGACUCGUUAUUAUAAACACCAAAAAAUUGUAUAUUGAUUUUUCUUACAGUUUGUAGAGACCUCCACUUCCAAAACCUUAUGGAUAUAGAAUAUUUACCAAAAAUUACAUUGGUCUACUAUCUUUUAGAAUUCAUCUUCUUUUUGUCCUAAGCAUAAAUAAAUACAUACAUAACAAUUUUCUUCUUUUUUUUUUUUCAUACAUAACAAUUUCACAAGCAUAGUUCUUACAAUAUUAAAAAAUAAAAUAAAAAGUGUUGUUCUGACUCAAGUCUUUCGUGCAAACUUCUCCUCUUAUGAAUUCAAAGCACCCAGACCCACCUCCUCGUUUUAUUUGCAAAUUUCAAUUAUUAACAUUUUCAAUACUCAAAACCUUUAAACAAUAAUCGAAGCAACUUAACUAAGAUAAAAAAAAAAACUAUAACAAGUUGAAGAAUUUUUAUUACCCUUUUGGAUUUGACGGAGAUAAGUUGUGGCCUGUGGGAAGAUUUUGAACAAGUCUUCAUCCACAUGCUUUGGUGCCUUCAUUCUUCGCUUCACCACGGGUAUUGGACAGUUCAUCGGUACGUUAAACUCACGUCUUCCGUCUUCCAUCAUUACCUCUUGAGACAAUGCUAUUGUCUUUGACCAUCAAGCUCCUACAUAAUUACCUCUUGAUAUUGAUCCAACAUCAACACUCGAACACAAUACAAAACCAACACGAGCCUAAACACAACCAAAUCGAGGAGCGUAGAGGAAAGUAGAAGGGAGGUCUCGUCGGGAUCUUCAUCGGCGCGCAGAGACGCAACAUGCUUCAUCGAAUUUAAAACUUGAGACGACCCAUCGCUCACUUCCAUUGCCACUAGCAAAAGCCUAGUAACCGAUUCAAAUUAAGAGAUCAGGAGGAAGAAUGAAGCCACCAUAUUAGAUCUGGCCAGAACCAAAACCGACGACUGUGGGCGGGUGUUUACGGCGAUUUGGUCUUUCACCAAUUCAACCACCCACAUUAUUUUAGUUUAGUUUGAGAAAAAUGGAUAUUCCUAUUUCGGAGAGAGAGAGAGUCACAGUGUUUUACAAGAAGAGGUGAUGAACAAUAUAAUUUAAUAAUUUUUGCAACACAACUAAGCCAAUUACAUUUCUUUGAAUUAAGGGUACAAAUUUCCAAAAUAUAAGAAUUAGUGUAAAAAGUGUCUCGGAAAAUGAUUCUCGUGCCUUAUUGUUGAACAUUCCCUUAAUUAUAAAAUGUAAACCCUUACAACUCUUUUAUAAACCUAAACCGAAGUAUAAUUUCAUUUAAUUGUAAAAUCUAAACUUUAACUAUUUUUAUAUAAACCAAAACCGACGUAUAAUUUUGCUUAAUUGUAAAAUCUAAACCCUAAACCUCAUUGAUAAAUCCAAACUGACAUAUAAUUUGAUUUAAUUGUAAAAGCUAAACCCUAAUCAAUAUUUGUAAACCCAAAUCAACAUAUAAUUUCGUUUAAACCCUAAUCAUUUUUCUAUUAACCCAAACCAACAUAUAAUUUUAAUUAAUUGUAAAUCUAAAUCCUAAUUCAUAUUUAUAAACUCAAACCGCCAUAUAAUUAAUCUUGUUUAAUUAAAAGCAUAUAGAUUUUGUUUUCUUAAUAUUUUUAUUUUGUGAUUUUUAUUUUGAUUGAUUUUUAAAUAUAGUAUUACAUGACAUAUUGUUGUAAUUUGAUCGACUAAAUAAGAAGGGUGAAUAUGAUAGGUUCAUCCCUAGGGGUGAAUCCAAGAAUAUUUUGUCAAAGAGUAUACUGUCACUAGGGGUUGACCCGCGCCGUGGGUUCCUAAAAAAAACACAAAAUACCAAACCCUCAUUCUGCCUUGCACGGGUGGGCAAGACCAAGUGUUCUGAGAUCAUGUAUAUGAUACAACUAUAUAUUGAAUAAUAUGCAUAAAUCAAUUCAUACAUAGAUUAAAGUUAGAAACAGGCUGAAGAAUGUGAAAGAUCAUAUUGUUUUUGGUUGAAGAGAAAUUUUCAAAGUUUUAGUCUUAAUCGGUUUGAUGGUGUGCUUACCGUACCUAAGUCAUAUUAAAGACCGAUUCGAGGUAGCAACCAGAGAUCGGGAUUCUCCGAUGAAAGAGACCGGUUUUCUUCGUCAAAUCCACCCCUCUGAAGCACCAACACACCACAAAUCUCCCGGAAAGUUAGUCGCUCAAAUUAGGCACAUCGACGUAAUCGGAUCCUGAAAAACUAACCCAACCCACUGGGCAGUAACCCCUCUCUCCCAACCGAGAACAGCCAAAAAAUUCUUAAGCUAUCACGAUUCAAUCUGACUCGAUGGAUGCAAAAUUGUAGUGGAUCUAGAAGCUGGUGACUCAAAUCCAAAACCUCUAAACGCGAAAUCCACAACAGCCCUCUAAGAUCCAAAGCAUCUGCAGCUAACCACCGUGCGAACAACGAACCCUCCUUUAUCCCCCCAACUUCCGCCGUGGGCGGAGCUCAAGACUAAGGGAUGAGCCGGAGCAACUGAAGCAACCCACAACGUCAAUAACCGUGUGACAAACGCUGUAGAACUCCCUUCCAACAGACCCGAGCCACAUCCACAUCGAGGGGAAAACACCACACCACCGUUGACAGAGAAUAGAUUCAGCCCACUCCUGGACUUUCAUUGAGUAGAUUUGACCAACGAUUGAAGAACAAAGAAAAAACAGCGGACUAGAUCUAAGAAACGAAACUCUUCCGCAAAAGAGAGAGUUUCACGGAAAUCGAUGCAACGAUUGUGCUUUUUUCUAAAGAUUUAUACUUGCUAGGAAAAACUUCCUACUUGGAUAUUGCAUUAACUACACGAUAAUAGAAAAAGCACCAUUUUAAAAUACUAUAACUUGAUUCGAUUACAUUUUCAAUGGCUUCUUUGUUGGAAUAAUUUUACAAAUUAUUAUUUUUGAUAUUGCUUUUCUGCAUGAUUAUAAUAAUUUGAUUAUAAUCAACAAACCGUAGAGAUAUUUUAUAGCAUAUAAAUACUACAAAAUUACAAAAUAUUUAGACAAUGAUUCAUAAACUUAUCAUAAAUAAGAUCAGCAUUAAUAAAAAAUUGAGUUUUUUUAACGGGACGGGUUGGUGGGACGGGUUCGGCAGGACGUUACUUAAUAACAAUUGUAAACUAUAAAAUAAAAUUAUUUUAUAGAUAGAUUCAAUUUGCAAACUUUUAUAUAUACUAACUUUAAAAAAGAAAUUGUUCAUACAGUGUAUUGGGGGUUAAAAUCUAGUUGACUUAUAUUAAAAUAAUUAGCUUAUCUUUUGUUUAAUUUAUUAUUUUUCGACUUAAUUGUUGAUUUUUGAAGUAUGAUUUUCUGAAAAUCAAGUUAAUAAUUUGGUUAUAAAAUUCAAAUUAAUACUUUUCAUAAUUAAAUUAAAAAGAAACAGCUUAUGUUUUUCUCUAAUUUAAGACCAAAACAAAGAAACAAGAAAAAAAAACCUUAGUCAGUUUUUGCAACUUACGUUUUAUCUCUUCAAAGUGGAAUCAAUCCUAUAAAGUACUAUAACGCCCAUAAAUAGUUUCUAAACAUCCUUAUGAUCACCUACAUUUGAUUUUUUAAAACUUUAAAGCUAGAAUUGAUCUUCUCGUCGCAAGAGUUUUGAUUGAUAUAUUAUUUUAAAAAUUUUGUUAAUUUUCUUAUAUUUUGUUUUACUUUUUGAUUCAUGGUUUGACAAAUUUAUUUUGGAGAUAAAGAAUAAAACUGCAAGAAAAUGUAAUUAAAACAUUUUUUGCAAAAAAAUAAAACCCAAAAAUAAAUUAUAAAUAAAAAUAUCCUAAAUCUUAACUAAUUGAAAGAAAAAAAUACUUUUGAUAAUAUUUUGAAAAUUCUUAAUUAAUAUAAAAUAUAUCCUUAUCCAAAGUAGUCUAAUAAAAUUGUCCACAAAAAAAAGUAUAUGUUUCACUUCUUUUAUUGAUUGAACUUUUGGUUAAUCUGAAUUUUAAUUGUAAUGGUUGAUUACUUUUAAAUUAUUAACCAUAGUAAUGAGAGUCAUCAUUAACAUCAUUAUUUUAAAUUUUGACCAAACAGAAAUAAAUUCUAGUAUAACAAAAAUCUUAACAUGGAUUAUUAAAUUUUAUUUUAAAUAAUAAUUGUAAAAAUAAUUAUAUUUUUUUUAUUUUGUUUUCUGAAAUUUAGUUAUUAAUAAGGAUGGAAAGGAAAUUUUCAAAAAAAACAUUAAGGUACAUCUCAAAUGCUUAAAAAUUAAAAAUUAAAAAAAUUAAGGUUUUAACCCGCGGUUUACCGCGGACAAUCAAUUUAUUUGGUUCUUAUAUUAAAUAUUUGAAUAAGUUUGAUAUCAUAAACUUAUAAAUAUAAAUUUCUAGUGAUUAGUGAAGAAUCGUAAUAUAUGAUUGGGAUAUUAUUGAUUAUUGAUUUCGUGAUUGAAUAUAGUGUUUUUAAGGAUGAAAUGUGAUUAUAUUUUGAUUUCAAAAACGACAUAGAUUCCUUAUUUUUGUUGAACGGUUUAGAUUGAAGGGAAUUAAUUUUAUUGAACGGUUUAGAUUGAAUUGGAUCAUAUAAAGUUUAGGAGAUUGUUAAGACCAAAUUACCUUUACUGAUUUUGAAUAGCAAAGAACAAAAUUCAAAAUUGAAGCCAAAUUAGACAAAAUUUCAAUUUGUACUUCCCUUUUAAUAAUAAAGGGAUUAAAAAUUAAUGUGUACAUUUCAAAUUUCUAAUACAAUUUAGGGUAUAUGAUCAAAUUAAUACUUAUACUGUAUUAAGGAUUUUUUUUAAACAACCAUCAUACAAUUUAGUUGUUUAAAUCCUCUAGCUUCGACACUACAAGGGUAUAGUCAAUCAAAGAUUUGGGAGGGUUUGGUAGAAAUUAGAAAAUCUUGGAUUCGUACAGAGUUAAGUGAGGAUUUAGAAUACUUAUGGUGGAAUUGUUAUUUUUAAUUGUAAAAAAGAAAAUAUAAUUUGUGAUUUGGUGAACUUUUAACGAGAUAAUAUUAGGUGAUUUGAUGAGAUUUUUAGCAUAAGAAUAAAAAAUUGUGAUUUUAAAAAAAAAUUGCAGACCGCAUAGUCAAAUCAAUAAAUCAUUCAAAGACUUAAAAGUAAUUGGGACAACCAUCAAUAAGUACCAGGUGUAACUAGCCAAUCUAUAACAACACAAAAAUUUGCCUUUAUAAUUUUCUCUAGUUUGUGGUAACUUCUUAAAUAUGUCGUUCGAAAAGACGUUUGACGGUGGUGGAAUAUUUGAUCGAGCUCAAGAUAAAAACUUAAGCCUCUCCAUCAACCUAAUUUCAAAAAUCUAGUGUUAUAAACCUUAAAUUUACUUACGACUUUCUUCCAAAUCAAUACAUAAGGUUUUAGAGCUCUUAGUUUUACCUAGUAUCAACCACGAAAAUCAAAGAUAUACACAUAAACAAAACAAGAUUCACUUCCAUGCUUGACGACACAUAAACCAACUUAAAAUAACAUCUUAAAUUCAUUAAUUUCACAAAGAAAGCUCUAUUUUGGUAUUAGCGAAGAAACAUCAUAAUUGAAGAUCAAAACCAACCUCACAACAAUAUGACUUCUAAUCGUCGAAUGGUUUUGUUCAUCAAUUUGAAUCUUUGUUUAUAUUCCUCGAAAAUCGGAUUGAAGCUGCUCGAGACUUGUGGAAAUGAGUCACCACCACCACCAAAGAAAAUACGCUCUUUUAACUUUAGUCCUUAGACAUAUUUUAAGGCAAAUGGGGACUUUGAUUUUAGGAUCUCUUCUAUUAUUAUUGUUCAAGGGAUCGAGAUCGAGGGAGAUGAACACGAGGAUGAAGAAAGGAAAUUGUUUCAUUAGUUUAGUUUUGUUAGCAACAUGUUUUAUUUUUUAUUUCUUUUAGAAAAAUACUUGGGUUCACCCCCUACGAGGUGAAUUCAUUCAUUCAUCCCCUUUUUAUUGACCAAUUAGAACUUGACAUGUCAUAUAUUUAAAGAAUAAAUAAAUUAAAAUCAAUAAAUAAAACAAAUUAUGUAAACAAAUUCCGUAGAACUAUUAUUAAAGAAAUUAUUGGUUUGGGUUUAUAAAAUAGUGGUUAGGGUUUAGAUUUUGUGAUUAAACGAAAUUAUAUUUUGGUUUGGGUUGAUGUAAAAGUGGUUAGGGUUUAGAUUUUGUGAUUAAACAAAAUUAAAUUUUGGUUUGGGUUAAUAAAAUAGUGGUUAGGGUUUAGAUUUUGUGAUUAAAACGAAAUCAUAUUUCGGUUUGGGUUGAUAAAAUAGUGGUUAGAGUUCAGAUUUUGUGAUUAAAACGAAAUUAUAUUUCGGUUUGAGUUGAUAAAAUAGUGGUUAGGGUUUAGAUUUUGUGAUUAAAACGAAAUUAUAUUUAGGUUUGGGUUGAUAAAAUAGUGGUUAGGGUUUAGAUUUUGUGAUUAAGCGAAAUUAUAUUUUGGUUUGGGUUGAUAAAAUAGUGGUUACGAUUUAGAUUUUGUGAUUUAGUUUAUUUAUUCUUUAAAUAGAUUACAUGUCAAAUUCUAAUUGGUAAAUUAAAAGGGGUCAAUGAAUGGAUUCACCCCCUAGGGGGUGAACCCAAGAAUUGUUCAAAGGGGUGAAUGAAUAGAUUCACCCCCUAGGGGUGAACCUCUUUCAUUAACCCCCUCUUAAUUAACCAAUUAAAAUUUGUCAUGUCAUCUAAUUAAAAUAAUUAAUAUUAUCUCAAUAAAUAAAUAAAUUUAUUAAAACCUCUAAACUUAUCUAAUUAUAAAAUCUAAUCCUUAACCAUUUUUUUUAUAAACCCAAACCACCAUUUAAACUCGUUUACUUACAAAAUUUAAACCCUAAUUUUCUUUUGUAAACCCAAACCACCAUUUAAAUUCGUUUAAUCGUAAAAAAACUAAACCCUAAUCGUACUUUCGAAAUUCAAACCGAUAUUUAACCUUGUUUAAUCAUAAAAUCUAAACCAUAACCAUUUCUAAUUAACCCAAACCGAUACAUAAUUUCAUUUUAAUGGAAAAUUAGAUUUUUUAAUUUAAUUAAGUUAUUAUUUUUAUUAUUAGAUGGCAACUUCUAAUUGUUAAAAUUAAGGGGGUGAAUAUAAAGGUUCACCUUUAGGGGUGAACCCAUGUAUUUUUCUUGUUUUAAUCAAAUACCACCUAUAGAGGAAUGAUUGUUAAGUUUUGCUAAAAAGGUAUCCAAAGUCUCACCAAAUAUGUUUUCACUUGUUUUUUUUUUGUAAGUUUUGUUAAGUUUAAAUAACAGUGGAUUUGAUAUGGUUUUUGUAUAUUAAUAAUUGAAUAAUAAGAGAUUUAAAAUGAUUUGGAAUGAUUUUGCAUAAAUUUCAGUUUCAAUAGUAUGGAAUUUGAGAAGAGAGUUUAAAUCACUAAUUGAAUAACAUGUGAUUUUAACAAAAAAGCCCAAAUUUUCCAAAAUCAUUCUUCCAACACACCCCUGUAAAUAUUUUCAAUGGCAUUGUAUUUUAUAUUUUACAUUUUAAAAUGUAAUUUAUUUUGUCGUUCAACUAAUACGAAAAAUAUAUAAAAUUGUACUCUUUUUCUCUCUUUUUGACAGUAUCAUGAACGCAGUUCAAUCCAUUCAAUAAAAAGAGAUAGAGAAAAAAAAAGGAUUUCAAAUCAUACUUUAAUACAAGAGAAGAAUCAUUAAUCUAAAAAGCACACAUUAAUUAAUGAUACAAGCAUAAGGGAACGAUAGAGGAAAGAAUCAAAGGGAUAGGAUUUGAUAUGAUAUAUUUGGUAAACCAAGACAGGAAAGAUUGGAGCUCUGCCAUUCUCUUCUCACUUUUUUCUCCAAAGCAUCUGCGUAACCCAAAAUUAAAAUAAUUGUUUGUUAUAGAACUAAAUUGUAUACUAUAAUUAAAAUAAUUAUUUUAUGCACAUUGCUAAUAUCUACUUAUAGUAGUACUAGGACACUUGCAUGCAUAUUAAUCGAAUAUGUAUCUAAAAAGCUCAACUUUUGGUAUGAAUAACAAAAUUCUCUCAACUUUAAGUUAUAUACCAUGUAUCCAUUUUCCAAACGUUUCGUUGAACUAGAAAACAAAAUUAUGUUAUUGCCAAAGAAAUUAUAUUAAACCUAAAACCAUAUUUGGUUAAUAUCUACAUUUCUUAUAGAAGAUUGAAAUUCUAAGUAAUAUGAGAGGGAGAAUAGCAUACCCUUUAUAAGUGGAGUGAGUUUAUCAUAUGGAACAAGUGUAGCCCGGAGGUGGAUUUUUGCCACAGGUAAGGAGAAGCUGAAGAGCAACAGGGACAUAAAGAUUGAGGUCAAGAGCUUUGAGCUUGAGGGUAGUGCAGAGACAAGCCGCGGCUUCGACUUCAACGAGGCCUUUAAGUAACGGACAACAUUUGUUAACUGCUGGAUCCCCAAGCCCUAUCUUUACUAAACCUCCCAACAAGUCGACGCAAGCACCUAACUUCAGCGUGUCUAUUGGACAUGUCGCCUUCCCGCCCCCUGAUGGUGGCUUUACGCUCCCUGGCGGUGGAGGACAGUCCUUCCCUCCUGUGGCUGGUGGGGUUGUUCCCGGUGGAAGAAUAGGACCUACAAUUGGCAAAGGCGGCAAUGGCAGAUUGGGACCUACCACUGGAGGUAUGGGUAGCCCUGAAAUCGGAGGAAGGGGUAGCUUAGGGACGGUCACUGGAGGAACGGGUAGCUUAGGUACAGUUACCGGGGGAACGGGUAGCUUAGGGACUGUCACUGGAGGAACGGGUAGCUUGGGGACGGUCACUGGAGGAACGGGUAGCUUGGGGACGGUCACAGGAGGAACGGGUAGCUUAGGUACAGUCACUGGUGGAACGGGUAGCUUAGGGAUGGUCACAGGAGGAACGGGUAGCUUAGGGACGGUCACCGGAGGGACUGGUAGCUUAGGGACGGUCACCGGAGGAACUGGUAGCUUAGGGACGGUCACCGGAGGAACUGGUAGCUUAGGGGCUUUAGGGGAGUGCUUUCCGCCCUUCCGUGGGUUGCAAGAGCCGCAUGCGAGAGAAUGUUGGGGGAGAUAGAUAAUGCAAAUGAGGAAGAGGCAAAGAGAGAGAGAUGAGA